rnacentral:lncRNA from 1 species
UGGUUUGAAAAUAUUAUAAAUUCUACUGUUGAAAAGUAUAGAAGCAAGGACUUUAUUGUUGAAGGUAAAGAAAGAGCAGGGGAAAAUUUUGAAGGAUCAAGGAACAAGAACUUCUUGCAGUUACUAUUGGAGCUUCAAGAAAAUGAAGACGGUUCUUCCUCAAUUAGCAUGAACCAAUUUAAGGGCGUGCUCGCGGUAUGUUAAGCAACUAGCCACGAACAGUUAUACAAGCACAGUUGUAUAUUUGCAUGAGUGACGCUUCUCAACUUUUUUUAAUUUUUUAAAUUAAAGUUUUAUUGUAAUCUUUUGAACAGGAUAUAAUUACGGGUGGAACCGACACCACAACUACGAUGGUGGAAUGGACAAUGGCAGAGUUGAUGCAGCAUCCACAAGUAAUGAAGAAAGUUCAGGAAGAAUUAGCUCAAGUUGUGGGCAUGGACAGUUGUGUUGAAGAAUUUCAUUUGCCUAAACUGAAAUAUUUAGAUGCUGUGGUGAAAGAAUCGUUUCGUCUGCAUCCUGCAGUGCCUUUAUUAGUACCACGCAGAGCAAGCGAGAGUGGCAGCAUUGGUGGCUAUACCAUUCCCAAAGAUACAACUCUUAUGUUGAAUGUUUGGGCUAUCCACAGGGACCCUCAACUUUGGGAUAAUCCCUUAGAAUUUCGACCCGAGAGGUUUCUGAAUGUUGGUGUCGAGAGUAAGUUCGAUUACUCAGGUAACAAUUUUCAGUACUUACCUUUUGGUUCUGGUAGAAGAAUGUGUGCUGGGAUUCCUCUAGCUGAGAGGAUGCUGAUGUUUGUUUUGGCUUCGUUAUUGCACUCAUUUGAGUGGGAAUUGCCAGCUGGCACAAAGCUAAAUUUAUCUGAAAAAUUUGGGUUUGUCAUUAAGAAAAAAGAGCCUUUGGUUGCUAUUCCAACACCAAGACUAUCCAAUUCAGAGCUUUACCAUUAAAACAGAAUGAUUGUGAUGAUUUUGUUAGUAUCGGAAGAUUUGUAUGUUAUUUCAAGUUCAAUCGUAAUAAAAUAUUUUAAUAAAAGUCCUCCGUUGCUAAUUUUUUUUUUCAACGGCAUAAUCUGUCAUCAUGCUUGUGUUUGGAGCUACUUUGGAAUGAUUAUUUUUGAAUUACAAUUUAUAAAUAUUUAGGUUUUAAAUUUUUUAUAAGAGUCUAAAUUUAUACACGUUCAGUAAAAGAUUCCCUAAAAGCUUUACAAUUCAAAAUUCUAUUAAAAGUAUAGAUGAAACUUUUAUACCUACUAAUUUUUUGGUCUAUUCUACAAGUUUAAAGAGGAGAUAUUUCUAGAGCUAGCAAAAAGAGCUACCUGAUUGUUUUCGCGUUAUGUCAAUUUUUUUAUUGUGUUAAAUUUAAUUUGACCCACAUAUGACCCAUUUAAUAAUCGUGUCAAAAUAUUGAAACUUGAACUUGAUACGGAAAAUAAAUGGAUGACCACACACACCCAUUUAAGAAUUAGGUAACUAUGUCACUUAAUACGACAUAACCCAAUAACUCGUUUAAUACAUAUUUAACAUAAUUUACAUUGUACAUUGUACACCCUUUUGUCAUAAAUUACACUAUUUUAUAUUUCUAAAUAAUAUUAUAUAUUGAUAUUAUAAAAAAAUAUCAAUAAUCUCAAAAUUUGUACACCUCCUAACUUUUAAAAAGAAAUAAAAAAACUAAUUAAUUAAUGUUUAUUUUAUUCAUUAAUAUAUCAUAAUCCUACAUGUAUUUUAUUUGUUAUUUUUUUUAUUUAAAAAGAUAGGAGGGUGGAUGAAACUCAAAUAAAUUUUUAGCCUAUCCUGAUCUUUCAAGUUUCUUAUUUAGGAGGCCAGUUAAAAAAAAUUACUUAGAAAGCUACUCCAUCAAUUUAACAAAUUUUAUUUAUUUAAUUAAUGGAGGUGUAGAAAAUAAAAGUAUCUGCAAGCACAUUGCAAUAGUGAAAGCAAUGUACCGGUGUUGCAACAUAACUGAAUCUUGAUAACCUAUCACAUAUUUUAAGUUUUAAUAUUGGUAGUUCACGGAUCGGUUUCUACUUCCACGAACAAUUAUUGAAGGAAAUGAGUUUUUUUUUUAAUGAAUAUUUAUAGACCCCGAUUAAAUAUUCGAAUAUAUAAUAAAAGAGAAACUGACAUAGAAAUGAGAAAGAUAUUUGGAGGAGGCCAAAAAAAAAAAAAAAAAUGCAACAGAGAAUUAGAUCAGCAACACAAGUAACUAAUUAAUUCAUCUAUACAUCAUAAUCCUAUUUGUAUCUUCUUCCUUCUACUAAUUUACAUAUAAAUUUGGUUAGAUAAAACAUAUUUUAAUACUCGGUCACAAGCGGUGGAUAUAGAAAAUUAAUUUAGAGGGGGUAAUACCAUAACGAAAAAUAAUGAUUCAUAACUAAAAUCAACCCCAACAUCAAAACUUAUUUACAAGAUUACGCCCAGUCAAAGGUAAUUUUUCCUAAAAACUAAUACGAAAUUAAAUAAAUUUAACUUUUAGUGGGUUCAAGUGCCCACGCAUUCUGAACGUAGAUCCACCCCUGGCCCCGACUGAAGCAUUUUUUACAAUAUGUACUCAGUUUAUCAACAGGAACAACCUUCCACUUUAAAUUAAAAUUUUCACUUAAAAAUGAUUAAUGUUAAUGAGGUUAGCAACAAAAAUGAGUUUAAUUAGAGAAUAUUAUAAGAGAAAUUAUAUUUUUUGACUUUUAAUAAAUUAAAAUAUUAUUAGUUGGUGGUGGUUUCACGUCAGAUUAAGACGUGACACUUUACUUAUGAGGUCGAGACAAUCGACUUAAACUAUUUCAAUGCAUUUGAAAUUUGCACUAAUGGCUAUCAUUCUUUGUCCAAAUUAAUACGAUAAUUAAUAACAUACAAUUGAAAUAAUUAAUACUAGCACUUGGCAAUAAAUAAAGCUCUUGUGCUUGAAUCGUCACACAUGAUCACUUCAUUCCUUUAUUUACUUUGCUACCACAAAUUUUGAGGCAUUAUAACUAAAUAAUAAUUGAAUAGGGCUUUGUGUUACUUGUUGUGCGCGCGGAAUGCGGAAUCAAGCACACCAAAUUAUUACAGAAAAAUAAAGGACACAAUUAUUUGACGUGGUUCGGUAAUUAAACUUACAUCCACGGAGGCAAGAAAGAAUAAUUGUUUAUUUAACAAUUAAUAGAGUACAAAUAUUUGAGUAACGAAUCUCACUUCUCAGAAACCUAAAUAUACCCAAUACUCUCACACUCUGCAGGAAAGAUAAAUUAUCCAAACACACUUCUCUCACUUCUCUAAAAAACUUAAAAAUUUAAAAACUUAACAAUUUUGGAAUGCUUUAGAAUAGAAGAAGUGCCAUCUUAUAGGAAAAAUAAUGAUACUAUUGCACCAACCUCUUUACUAUUCCACCUAACAUAAGCAAAUUGUCAAUAGUGUCCAUUUAACUUUUUAUUUUUUUUCUUCAAUUGUUUAGUAGCCCUUUAAAAAUCUGCGUGGUUUCUUGAAAUUUAGAUGCCACAUGCAUGACUUUUCAACACUAAUUACUACGAUAAUUAAUAUUAGCACUUGGCAAUAAAUAAAGCUCUUGUGCUUGAAUCGUCACACACGAUCACUUCAUUCCUUUAUUUGCUUUGCUACCACAGAUUUUGAGGCAUUAAAACUAAAUAAUAAUUGAAUAUGGCUUUGUGCGUCGAUGACGCCAGCAACAAGGGGACCACAAUUAUCACUUUUUAAGUUGCUUUUAAAAUUGAUUUUAAUAGUGAUUUGAUUAUUGUAGUGUUUUUAUUUUUAUAUUAAAAUUAAGUCGAUUUGUUAUAAUAAACUUAGUUGAGUUUAAUGGUAUUACUACAUAAAUUGAAUAGUCAUCAAAUAUUUUAAUGUUUUUAUGGCAAGUGUUGACGUGGCAUUUAUUUGUUGUAUGAUGGAUUUUAAAAUUUAUAAAAUUAUUUGUUAUUAAAUUACCCCCAGAUGCUGCAUCACCUGAAACUUAAUAAAGGGCAUGUAGCAUUGCCAUUACUCAACAUUCACUCUUAUGACUUUAUGACAUUAGAAUUAAAAUCUUUCGUACAUUUAAUUUGUUUGCUUCCAGAUUAAUCUUUAAAAAUAUUUUUUUCACAUUAUCAUGAAUGGACAAAACUCCAACGAAAAUAACUACGCAAGAGCAAUCUAUGCUAGUAUUAUAUGCCACGAUAUCUAUAACUUUGUCAGGUCUCAGGAUCGAUCAUUCUAAUUUUUACGCAGAACUUUUAAUCAAUGGACAAACACCUCACCGAGCUUGUCGGCAGCAUUACUACGAUGUAAAAUUGUACCGGAAUAUCUUGAAGUAUUAGUAGAAUAAUGAAGACUAUUUGGAGCAAUAAAAACAAAUAACGCAGAUAAAAAAAAUGGCUAAAAUUAUGUAAGUGAGCCCCAAAGUUUUUGCUAUUUCCAGGAAAUCCCAAAUUUGAAUGGACUAGAGGGAGGCACGUAAGAAAUACAUUUUCUUCCUAGACAAUGACAGCUAUGACAUCAAGCCACGUAUUGAAAUUAAGGUGUAAUUAUUCAGCCAAUGAGCCUUACACACCAAGAUGUAUAAAAGUCAAGAAAAUGAAAUUUUAUCCCAAUUAAAACACUUUCUGGCUGCAAUUGGCUGUUUCCAUUUGAAGUUAAAAAACAACAACGUUUCUUUCGUUUUGUGGGCGAUUCGAUUGAGCACGCGCCACGAGCUAGCUGGCUUCCAGUGCUUGCGUGUGACAAUAGAAGGCUAGUGAUUUCACUUUCGCUUUUUUUUUUUUUUCUUUUUUUUGGGGAAUCAAGAUAAAAGCCAAGAAAAUGAAAAUUGGGCUGUUUCCAUUUGAAGUUAAAAACAGUGUUUCUUUCGGGGCGUCAAUUUGAUAUUUGAAUGGACAGGCAAGUAAGAAAUACAAUUCCUUCAUAGACAAUGACAACGAGGACAUCAAGGCACAUCAUUAUAGUUUGUAGCCCAUCUACAUUUAAACGAUUAAUAAACAAGCUUAGGUGUGCCACUGCUAUUAUUAAUUAUCCCCUGAUCAUUAUAGUUUCUGAAACAGUAAAACAAAACGAAAUUGAAUACAUCAACGAGAUCGCAAUUAUCACUUGUUUAGUUGCGGUAUUUAACUUAAUUUUAAUCUAAUAUAUUUGUUAGUUAAACUUUUAAUAAUCAAAUAAUUUUGACUUAAAAAUAAAAUUAUAGAAAUUAUUAAUUAUUAAAAAUUCACACAUAGCUAUUGUUUUCUCUAUAUAUUGCAGUGUGUACGAUAUUGAGGGUUGAAGCCCAAAGCAUGCCCUAAAAUCCAGAUAAUAAUUAGAUCCGGGCCAAAUAUUCAUCAUUGUGUCGGCUGAUCAGUCGGUGGACAUCUCUAUUGAAAAAAUCUCUGACAUUUCUCUCGACAAACUUAUUACUAAAAAAAAAUCAGUGGUUUUGCCGUCUGAAUAAUGUAGAAAAAUUUGUCUGUGCAUUAAUCUAGAUGUUUGAGGUGAUUUAUACAUCUGUGAUAAAGAUUUAUAGGUUGACUUAUACGUCUGUGGUAUAGAUUUUAUGUAUUUCAUUACAAAAUGCUGGCCGUUAGAACCCUUUCUACAUCUAUUUAUAAGAUUAACGGGUGCCAGUUAUGCCAUUACAAAUUAUCCCCUCAUCAGAUAUUUCGUUAAAAUUCAUUCUGAAACACUAAAACUAAAUAAUCGAACAUGGCUUUGCGGGUCGAUGAUGCCAGAAGCAAUUCGACUGCAAUUAUCACUUGUUUAGUUUCUGUGCUUGCCGUGGUUUACUUGGCAUGGAAUGUGAAAAAAUCAAGGAAAGCAAAUGCUAAACUGCCACCAGGACCUCCCGGCUUGCCUGUAGUCGGAUACCUCCCAUUUCUCGGAACUACUGACUUGCACAAGAAAUUCACGGAAUUAUCCGGAGUUUACGGUCCGAUCUUCAAGCUCUGGCUCGGAAAUAAAUUAUGUGUAGUGGUGAGCUCACCUUCCCUAAUUAGACAAGUGGUUCGUGAUCAAGAUACAACAUUCGCGAACCGUGACCCACCGAAGGCUGCACUAGUGGUCUCCUAUGGUGGCAAUGAUAUUGCAUGGUCCAAUUACGGUCCCGAAUGGAGAAAGUUGCGCAAAUUUUUUGUGGGCAAGAUGAUGAGUAACGCAAGCCUUGAUGCUUGUUAUGCUCUAAGAAAACAAGAGGUUAAAAAUACUAUCAGGGAUUUGUAUAACAACGACAACAAAAUUGGCAAGCCCAUUGACAUUGGUGAAUUGUCGUUUUCAACAUUGGUAUGUGCUAUACAGAACAUGCUGUGGGGUGAAGCGCUUGAAAUAAGAGAGAAAGGGACCACUAAUCUUGGGGCUGGGCUAAAAUUUAAGCUGGCAGAACUCAUGGUGCUUGCGGGAACACCGAAUAUUUCGGAUGUCUUUCCAAUGCUUUCAUGGCUUGACAUACAAGGUAUAGAGAGGAGAGCAAAGAAGAUUUCACUCUGGCUUGAAAAUGUUAUAAAUUCUACUGUUGAACAGCAUAGAAACAAGGAGUCAACUGUUGAAGGUGAAGAAAGAGCGGGGAAAAAUUUUGAAGGAUCAAGGAACAAGAACUUCUUGCAGUUACUAUUGGAGCUUCAAGAAAAUGAUGACAGUGCUUCCUCAAUUAGCAUGAACCAAUUCAAGGCCGUACUCAUGGUAUGUUAAGUAACUAGCAACGAACAGUUAUACAAGCACAGUUGUAUAUUUGCAUGAGUGAUAUUUUCAACCUUUUUUUUUAAUUAGAAUUUUAUUGUCACCUUUUGGACAGGAUAUAAUUACGGCUGGAACCGACACCACAGCUACGAUGGUGGAAUGGACAAUGGCAGAGUUGAUGCAGCAUCCACAAGUAAUGAAGAACGUUCAGGAAGAAUUAGCUCAAGUUGUGGGCAUGGACAGUUGUGUUGAAGAAUUUCACCUGUCUAGAUUAAAGUAUUUAGAUGCUGUGGUGAAGGAAACAUUUCGUCUGCAUCCUGCAGUGCCUUUAUUAGUACCACGCAGAGCAAGCGAGAGUGGCAGCAUUGGUGGCUAUACCAUUCCCAAAGAUACAACUCUUAUGUUGAAUGUUUGGGCUAUCCACAGGGACCCUCACCUUUGGGAUAAUCCCUUAGAAUUUCGACCCGAGAGGUUUCUGAAUGUUGGUGUCGAGAGUAAGUUCGAUUACUCAGGUAACAAUUUUCAGUACUUGCCAUUUGGUUCUGGUAGAAGAAUGUGUGCUGGGAUUCCUCUAGCUGAGAGGAUGCUGAUGUUUGUUUUGGCUUCGUUAUUGCACUCAUUUGAGUGGGAAUUGCCAGCUGGCACAAAGCUAAACUUAUCUGAAAAAUUUGGGAUUGUCAUUAAGAAAAAAGAGCCUUUGGUUGCUAUUCCAACACCAAGACUAUCCAAUUCAGAGCUCUACCAUUAAGACAAAAUGGUUGUGAUGAUUUUGUUAAUUUUCCGAAGAUUUGUAUGUUAUUUAGUUCAAUCGUAAUAAAAUAUUUCAAAUAAGAGUCCUCCGUUGCUUUUUUUUUUUUUUUUUUUUCAACGGCAUAAUCUGUCGUCAUGCUUGUAUUUGGAGCUACUUUGGAAUAAUUAUGUUUGAAUUACAAUUUAUAAAUAUUUACGUUUUAAAUUUUUUAUAAGAGUCUAAAUUUAUACACGUUUAAUAUCCCGCUUCAUAGAUAUUUAACACAAUUUAUAUCAUACAUUGUAUACCCAUUUGUCAUAAAUUAUACUAUUUUGUAUCUCUAAAUAAUAUUACGUAUUGAUAUUAUAAUAUAUAUAUAUAUGUUUAUCAAAAGACUAUACCAUUCAAUAUAUAUUGAAAAGAGAACAAAGAAGAUUUUCUUAUGGUUUAAAAAUAUUAUGAAUUCUGCUGUUGAACAGUAUGGAAACAAGGUCUCUGUUGUUAAAGGUGAAGAAGCAACAGGGAACAAUAUUGAAGGAAGAAAUUUCACAUGUUUAGUUGCUGAAUUUGCCGCUGUAUUCUAUCGGUAGUAGAGUUUUUAUUUUUCUCUAUUAAUUUAAGUCAAUUUUCUAUAACAAAUUCGGUUGAGUUUAAUUGUGUUAUAAUAUAAAUUGAAUGAUAAUAGAAUUUUCAACAAAUAUUUCAAUAUUUCUAUCUCGAUUGUUGAAGUGCCAUUUAUUUGUUAUGCGAUCGAUUUUAAAAUUUAUAAAAUUAUUUGUUACUAAAUUGCAUCAUAUGCUAAAAUCACCUGAAACCUAAUUCCAUAACUAACCCUUUAUUUUUAGUUCUCAAGAAAUCUUGUAAGAACAAAAAUCUUUUAUAACAAAACUUUUACAACACAUUAAUUUGUAACUCAUUCCUGUGCGCGAAUCACUCUCAAUUUCCUUCAAUUGCUGUUUAACAAUCAUCUACUUAUCAAAAUUCAAGCAUAAUCUUUUUUUUUUAAUUUCUUCAUCAUUCUUUAAAAAAAAAAUCAGGAUAUGCUGUUAAAUUUUGAAAUAAAUAAAUUAACCAAAGUUGGUUGAUGUGAGUGGUUCAAUGAUGAGCAUAAUUUAUAUACAUAUUUUACCUUUAAUUAUAUAAUUAUUAGUUAUUUUUAUUAGUUAUUUUUAAUUAAUUGAAUUAUUUUAUUGCAUAGAGAAUUAAUUGGAGAUUGGGAAACAAAAAGUGCAUAAAGAAUAACAAGUUUGGGAAAGCAUCAAUCAAAGCCGUGACGCAAUUAAGAGUUUAUAGCAUAUGAAGCCAAGAGUAAUUUGCACUCAAAAAGAAUUUCAAUUAUUCAAGUGACCUGGACCUGCAUGGCAUUGUAAUGCAUGGAAAGCAACUUAAAGGGGCCCACACUUGGCUUUUACAAUUGGAAAAAGGAAUCCUAGUGCAAGCUUAAUUGAUGAGCACGUGAGUGAGAGCAAAGAAAAUUAAAAGGCCAAGCCUUUUGGCUUAAGGAAAUAACAAGGUCGGUGGGGCCCAUUUUAAAGAGUAAUAUAAAAGCAAGCUUUUGGCUUUUGGAGAGAGGAGCCGCGAGAGGAGGAAAACGCAAGACAAAGAGAAGAAAAUCUGCAGCAGUUCGGCUUCUAUGGUUGGUUUUAUCUCUUUUGUUACUCUUAAUUCAAAUAUGUCUAGUUAAUUUUCUUAUAUUAAAGUUAAGGAUGAAACCCUAUUCAAUGAAAUAAUUAUCUUUUUAUUUAUUUAAUUCCCAUAUAUGUUCUUUAAUGAUUAUGAUUUUUAUUUCACAUGAUUAAUUGGAUGUUAUUAAAAUUUUUUCAUCAAUUCUGUCAUGCAUUAUUGAUUGUUAGGAUUAAUAUUCAAUUAAAUCUAUACUUAGAUUUAUAACGUUUAUACAUGAUUAUCUUUGAUUCUAUGUCUUUCAUUAAAUUGUUUACAUGGAGUGCUUAGGAAAACUUUGACUCUUUGUUAUUCAAUAUGUUCACAUGGGAUACUUAGAUGUCAUACUAUUAAGCGGAAAAAGAACCUAUAUUAGAUUUAAUUAUUUGGGCUUAAUUGUUAUAUCCAUGAGAUGACACAAAUUGAUUUCGAGUUGUCACUCUAAAAUUAGAGAUUAAUGAAUAUUUAGAUAAUUACUAGUUGAAUAGCGGUGGAUUCUGAAACCUUGGUAAUUUCUAUCUUAUUGAAUUCUCCUUUACUUUAAUUGUUUUCUUAGUUUAAUUAAUUUAAUUUCUUUUAAAACUCAAUUUGCUUAACUAGGUUAGAAUUAAUAUUAAUUUUAGAUUUAAAUUAGACUUUUCAAUUUAUAACAAUCCAUGUGGGAUCGACCUCGUUACCACUACUUUAUUUCUAGAUUCGUGCACUUGCGAGUAUAUUAAAAUUUUCACAACAAGUUUUUGGCGCCGUUGCCGGGGAUUGUGCCAGAAAGUCAGUUUAAUCUAGGUUGAUUUGAUUCUUCCACUAGUUAUAAUUUAUGUUGUCUUUUAUUUUAUUAUUAUUUUUAAUUAACAAAAACACACAAAAAAACUUUUAUUUUUCUUUAAAUUCAUUGUUUGGUUGUUUGAUUUCUUUUAUUUUUUAAAUUUUGUUUAUUCUCAUUAUUGUUGGUUUAUUUUAUUUUAUUUUUUUCUUUCCUUGUCUAGUUAGUUUAUGAGUGUUUGGGAAUGUGAUUCAACAAAUCGUUUGGUAAAAGAGAGUCAAAAAUUGAUAGUAGUCAAGUUAGUUCUUCUGAAGUCAUGGAUGACCCAAAUAGAUUAUUGCCAAUACUUCCACCAGUGCAAGCAGAGAAAACCCUUAGAGAAUAUUUUUCACCACUUGCAGCCAACCAACCAUCUUGUAUUGUGUUGCCACAAACUACAGCAACACACUUUGAACUUUUUGAACUUAAGCCCUCAGUCAUCCAACUUUUACCAUCUUUCCAUGGGUUAGAGAGAGAGGAUCCAUAUUUGCACAUUAAGGAAUUUCUUGACAUAUGCUCUACAUUCCGUUUUCAAAAUUUUAAUGAUGAGUUAAUCAGGCUUCGUAUGUUAUCUUUCUCAUUAAAAGACAAAGCAAAAGCUUGGUUGAAUUCGCUUUCUGCUGGGUCUAUAACUACGUGGGAUGAAUUGAAUAAUAAGUUCCUCACCAAGUUUUUCCCUAUGUCUAAAACAAAUGCCCUUAGGAGAGAGAUAAGUGAUUUCUAUUAAAGAGAGGGUGAGCAAUUUUAUGAGUGUUGGGAAAGAUUCAAUGAUUUACUCCUCAAGUGCCCCCACCAUGGUUUUGAGAAAUGGAGACUUAUACAAUGCUUUUAUAACGGUUUAACCAUGUCGAAUCGUCAUAUGGUAGAGUCUAUGAAUGGUGGGAGAUUUUUGAACCUACAUGAAGGGGCUGCAUGGGAUUUCUUUAAUUCACUUUCUGAGAAUUCUCAACAGUGAGAUUUUUCAAGCCAAAGGGAAAAAUCAUCUCAAGUUUCUAGAAAGGGGUUAUAUGAAGUUAAGGAUGAUUUUGAUGUGAAAUCCACUCUAAUUACACUUUCUAGAAAAGUAGAUGCCUUAGCUCUGAACCAAUCAAUGAAUCAUCAUCCUAGUGUAGCUAAUGAGGUUUGUGCUAUUUGUUCUAACUUGUCUCAAACAGCACAAAACUGUCCAUCAUUACCAGUCUAUCCAGAGGCUUAUUCUGAGCAGGUACAUGCCUUACAAUCAUAUGAGAAAACCUCCAAUAAUACAUAUUCACUCACAUAUAAUCCUAAUUGGAGGAAUCACCCUAAUUUUUCUUGGAAACAAAAUCAAUCUUUGUCAAACCAAGGAGGACAACAAUUUAACAUGCCCAAUCAACAAUUUGUCCCUCCUAACCAAGUAUAUCCUCCUGCCCAACAACCUAUAUCUCAAUUUGUUACACCCCAACAAAGAAAACCUUCUUUAGAGGAUACACUUCAAAGUUUCAUUCAGUCAACCUAAUAAGCUUUUCAGUCAAACACUCAAGCUAUUCUAAAGCUUGAACAUCAAUUGGGUCAAUUAGCAACUACUGUAGCGGAGAAAGAAAAAAGAAAAUUCCCCAGUCAAUCAAUUCCUAAUCCUAAAGGAGUGCAUGAAGUUGGAUCGAGUUCAAGCCAUCAGCAUGAAGAAGCAAAAUCAAUUAUGACCUUGAGAAGAGGAAAAUUGUUUGACAACAAAGUGGAGGUUCAAACAAAGAAGACAUCUGAGCCUACUUCUUCAGAUCCAAUUACAUCACAAGAAUCAUCACCAAAUGAUCUUGAAGAGAGUGACCCGCUAGCUUACAUUCCCAAGGCUCAUUUUCCUCAAAGGUUAACAAAGGUAAAGAAAGGGACUUCAACAUGUGAGAUUAUAGAAAUCUUCAAGCAGGUAAGUAUAAACAUCCAUUUACUCGAUGCUAUUAAGCAAGUUCCUUCCUAUGCCAAGUUUUUGAAAGAUUUAUGCACUAAAAAGAGAAAUUUGCAUGUCACUAAAAAGGCGUUUUUAACUGAACAAACUAGCAAUUUACUUCAAUGUAAAAUGCCACCAAAAUUUAAGGAUCCUGGUUCUCCUACUAUUUCAUGUGUUAUAGGGAACCAAUGUUUUGAUAAAGCAUUAUUGGAUUUAGGUGCUAGUGUUAAUCUCUUACCUUAUUCCAUUUACAUGCAGCUUGGACUAGGUGAGUUAAAAUCAACUCCUAUUAUUUUGCAACUUGCUGAUAGGUCAAUGAAAAUACCUCGUGGUAUUAUAGAGGAUGUGUUGAUACAGAUUGACAAAUUUUAUUAUCCUGUUGAUUUUAUUGUUAUUGAUACUCAACAUGUACAUGAUCUUAAGAAACACACUCCACUUAUUCUUGGUCGUCCUUUCUUAGCUACAGCUGAUGCUCAUAUUAGUUGCAGGACUUGAAACAUGCAAUUGUCUUUUGGUAACAUGACCAUGGAAUUAAAUAUUUUUAAUGUUCCCAAGCAGGCACAAGAAGAUGAUGAAGUCGUUGAAGUAGAUAUGAUAGAAGCAUCAAUUGAUGACUCACUUAUUUCUAACCAUUGUGACAAUCCAUUAAUACCUUGCACAACUGACUCUGAUUUCUCUAUUGAUGUUGAUAGUGAUAUUGAAGAAGUUAAUGCUUUACUUGAUUCGACUCUUAUCAUAGAUCUAAUUAAGUGGAAAGAAAAGAUAAGAUUGAGCCACUUCCUCCUGAAGAGAAAAGUGCAACAUAGGUCACAUUCUGACAUAAAAAAGGUGGUAAGAUCUAAAACGCUUAAAUUAUUAGAUUUUUAUACUACUUUAGAUAACUCUCAGGAAAGCUUAGAACAGAAGAGAUCAAAGCAAUGCGAUAUUGAGGAGUUUCAUUACCAUCAUCCUUUUAUGGAUAAAAUGCUCCAGUGCUUAAUCAAUUAUGCUUUUUGGUAUUUUCUAUAUAAUUGCUUUAAUUUUCACCAAAUUCUUAUUGAUCCUGGUUGAUUUGUUGUUUACAUUAAUUAGUUAGUUAGUCGGAUUUUUUUAUUAUUAUUUAUAUUUCUUCUAACGUUUUCUUUUGAGUUGUCAUUCUUUUAAGUUUUCCUAGCUCAGUCAGGUGUGUUCUCUCCAACUUUCUCUUUUAUUAUUUAUGUUUUUAUUUUUCAUCUUUUUGCGUGCAUAUCUUUUAUUUAUGACACAUUGAGGACAAUGUUCCGAAUAAGUUUGGGGGUGGGAAUAAUGUUGCUUUGUUUGUUAAAAAAAACUAAAAAAAAAUUUCAAAAAUUCAAAAAAAAAUUGUGUUUUUUUUGUUUUUACGUGAAAAGCCAAUGAUAAAAACUUGAUUGACAAUGAAUAUGGUUUUUAGAAAGGGUUUAAUAUUGUCUUAAUUUAUACUUGAUUCUUAUGUUAGUUCCUCUUGAUUGAGAUUCUUUAAAAUAUAAGCACUAAUAUCAAUUCUUUCAUAAUUUUGACUUGAAAUUUGAGAUUGACGCAGCCUGAGUUGAGAAUUUUAGAUAGAGUAAAUGACUGUUUGUCUUUAUUCUUAUCUCCACAAUACAAAAUAGUAUACACAGGCACCAAAGUCAGAAAUAACUACCUAUAAUCCUUAAGAGUGAAGCUAUCCUUGAGUAAUUUAGGCCUAUGUACCACAAGUAUGUAGAGGAUAAUCUACCAUGAGAAGAAUGCUACCUUAAGGGGUAGAGUGAAAGCUCCUGACUAUGGUUAAAAAAAAAAGAAGAAGAAAAAGAGAAAGAAAAAAUCAAAUCAAGUGCAUGUGCUGAAAAAAAAAUCAAAAGAAAAUGCACAUAAAAGCCUGUGAAAAAAAAAUUGGAGAUUAAGAUGAUAAGAUUAGCUUGACCUACUCUUUUCUUUUUUUGAGGCGAAGGUUGUUGAUAUUGAAGAUUUUAGGAAUGAAUUUGAUUGAAUUGAUUUCACACACACACAACAAGAAUCGAAAGAGAGAUGGGAUUGAUUAUUGAAUUAAAGUUAGAACUUUGCCAAUAUUUGAAAUUUUGUUUGAGCUAUAUAAUUUAUGCAAUCUUUGAGGGUAUUUUCAUAUUUUAUUUAAAGUUUUUUUUUCUUUUUAUUUUAUUUUAUUUAUUUUUUAUUUUUUUAAAAUGAUGUUUGUGGGUGUCAUCACUGAAGCUCUCACGAGACUAUAACUCGUCCACUAGGGGUUUAAAGGCUUGUUGCAUACGCUAAAUGCAAUCGCGAUUACCUGCGAAAAUGGUUUAGUUAGGAUUUACUUUUUGUUUUGUUAUUUUUUUUUUUUUUUUUAGUUUUAGCUUUGCUCGAGGACUAGCAAAAUCUAAGUUUGGGGGUAUUUGAUGAGCAUAAUUUAUAUACAUAUUUUACCUUUAAUUAUAUAAUUAUUAGUUAUCUUUAUUAGUUAUUUUUAAUUAAUUGAAUUAUUUUAUUGCAUAGGGAAUUAAUUGGAGAUUGGGAAACAAAAAGUGCAUAAAGAAUAACAAGUUUGGGAAAGCAUCAAUCAAAGCCAUGACACAAUUAAGAGUUUAUAGCAUAUGAAGGCAAGAGUAAUUUGCACUAAAAAAGAAUUUCAAUUAUUCAAGUGAUCUGGACGUGCAUAGUAUUGUAAUGCAUGGAAAGCAACUUAAAGGGGCCCACACUUGGCUUUUACAAUUGGAAAAAGGAAUCCUAGUGCAAGCUUAAUUGGUGAGCACGUGAGUGAGAGCAAAGAAAAUUAAAAGGCCAAGCCUUUUGGCUUAAGGAAAUAACAAGGUCGGUGGGGCCCAUUUUAAAGAGUAAUAUAAAAGCAAGCUUUUGGCUUUUGGAGAGAGAAGCCGCCAGAGGAGGAAAACGCGAGACAAAGAGAAGAAAAUAUGCCGCAGUUCGACUUCUAUGGUUGGUUUUAUCUCUUUUGUUACUCUUAAUUCAAGUAUGUCUAGCUAAUUUUCUUAUAUUGAAGUUAAGGAUGAAAUCAUAUUCAAUGAAAUAAUUAUCUUUUUAUUUAUUUAAUUCCCAUAUAUGUUCUUUAAUGAUUAUGAUUUUUAUUUCACAUGAUUAAUUGGAUGUUAUUAAAAUCUUUUCAUCAAUUCUGUCAUAUAUUAUUGAUUGUUAUGAUUAAUAUUAAAUUAAAUCUAUACUUGGAUUUAUAAAGUUUAUACAUGAUUAUCUUUGAUUCUAUGUCUUUCAUUAAAUUGUUUACAUGGAGUGCCUAGGAAAACUUUGACUCUUUGUUAUUCAAUAUGUUCACAUGGGAUACUUAGAUGUCGUACUAUUAAGCGGAAAAAGAACCUAUAUUAGAUUUAAUUAUUUGGGCUUAAUUGUUAUAUCCAUGAGAUGACAUAGAUUGAUUUCGAGUUGUCACUCUAAAAUUGGGGAUUAAUGAAUAUUUAGAUAAUUACUAGUUGAAUAGUGGUGGAUUCUGAAACCUUGGUAAUUUCUAUCUUAUUGAAUUCUCCUUUACUUUAAUUGUUUUCUUAGUUUAAUUAGUUUAAUUUCUCUUAAAACUCAAUUCGCUCAACUAGGUUAGAAUUAAUAUUAAUUUUAGAUUUAAAUUAGACUUUUCAAUUUAUAACAAUCCCUGUGGGAUCGACCUCGUUACCACUACUCUAUUUCUAGAUUCGUGCGCUUGCGAGUAUAUUAAAAUUUUCACAACAUUCGGCACUCUCACUCCUUAAGAGAGGUCAGGGGUUCAAGCCUCGCUCUCGUAUGGAGUCACCACUUUGACCAGCACUUUACCCCUUACAGACCGACCCGGUGCGAGCAUGAAUUAGUCUGGGUUGUGGUACGGGCUUAAAGGUGCCUCCCACAAUUGAGACCCACUCAGGACCACCUCGUGGUUCGGACAAAAAAAAAAUUGAAAUAAAUUAUCUCAAAAUAAUUACUAACCAGAAAAAACAAAGGGGUUUAACUAGGUUAUGCAUACCUUUGAAAAUUAUAUGUUGAUCGAUAAGCAUGAUGAUCACGAUUGAGGAGUUUAAUUAAAAUUUAUAAGAUUUUAAAAUUAAUCAGGGUUAAAUUCUAAAUUUUAGAAAGAGAGGUUUUGUGAGAAUGCUGAAAGGGUGUUAAUAGUUCCACUCUUUUUUAAAAAAACCAUAGUCAUCAUUUUUCCCGAUUUCUUCUUCCCAUCUCCAUCUUAUUUAGAAAUUUCCCAGAGCCUUUGUUUCCCACCAUUCAUUUUUCUUCUUUCUAAUUUAAGAUUAUAGUAUUAUAAAAAUAAUUACUCACAUUUUAUCAAACACCUCCAUUAUACCAAGGCCUUGUUUUAGUAGUAGGCUUUUAUUAUCUCAAUAAAAUUGAAAAAACAAAGCUCAAUAAUAUUGGAAAAAAAACCUACCCAUAUUUGUAACUUUAAUUUAUUAUUCUCCAUAGACCUACUUUUUAGCUUUGAAUUUUGUUGGAGCCAUAUAUAAACAGAAUAUGUUGAAAUCAGCACAAAAAAAAAACUAAUUAUAUAAUUUUUGUUCCCAAGGACACGACUGUGUGAUUUUUAAGAAGUUUUGUUUGGCUGGCCACUUAGGUUUAAAUCUUGGUGGAGAUUAGGGGUUAAGAAAUAAAUUUGGACUUUGCACACCCCUUUAACUUUUAAAAAGAAUGAAAAAAACUAAUUAAUUAAUCUUUAUUUUAUUUAUUAAAUGUCAUAAUCAUAUGCAUAUUUUAUUUGUUAUCUUUCUAUUUAAAAGAUAGGAGGGCAAAUAAAACUGAAAUAAAUGUUUAUCCCUAUCUCCAUCUUUCAAGUUCCAUAGUUAGGUGACCAGCUAAAGAAAAUUAAUUGAAAGUUACUCCAUCAAAUUAAAAAAAAUUAUUUAUUUAAUUUGUGGAGAUGUAGAAAAUCAAACCCCAUACCUUUUCGCAUGCAAAAGUGUCAACCUGGUCUAGCUAUGUUGCAACAGUAAACAUAUUUUAAUACAUGACUAUCAUCUUUUAUCCUAAAUACUACUAUAACUAUGGGUUCAGUUAUGCUGUAACUGUGGUAUGGUACCACAGUUGUUUUCAACCAUUAAAUUCAACUUAUAUAACUAUGCAACUGUAGAUCUAACGGCUGAAAGCAACUAUGGUACCAUACCACAGUUGCAACAUAGUUUUGCCCCUAUAACUCAUAACAUUCAAUUGAAAUAAUAAAUGUUAACACUUGGCUAUAAAUAAAGGUUUUGUACUUGAAUCUUCAUGCAUGACCUUCAUUCCUUUAUUGACUUUGCUAACACAGAUUUUGAGGCAUUAAAACUAAAUAAUAAUUGACUUUGUGGGCCGAGGAUGCCAGCAACAAGGAGACCACAAUUAUCACUAGUUAAGUUACUCUAAUUGCCGUUGUCUUAUAUUCAUAAAAUAUUAGUAAUAAGAUUAUUGUAGAAUUUUUUUAUAUUAAAAUUAAGUCAAUUUGUUAUAACAAAUUUAGUUGAGUUUAAUCGUGUUACUACAUACAUUGAAUAAUAAUAGAAUUCUCGACAAAUAUUUCAAUAUUUUUAUCCCAAGCGUUGGAGUGGCAUUUAUUUGUUAGACAAUCGAUUUUAGAACUUAUAAAAUUAUUCGUUACUGAAUUGCACCAUAUGCUGCAUGACCUGAAACUUAAUAAACGGAACGUAGCGUUGGCAACAUUCACUGUCAUGACUUUGUGACAUUAGAAUUAAAUUUUUUUGCACAUUUAAUUUGUUUACUUCCAAAUUAAUAUUUAACAAAAUAUUUUUUCACAUUAUCAAUGGACAAAACUCCAACGAAAAUAACUAUACAAUAUAUGCUAGUAUUGUAUGCCAUAUCAUCUGUAAUUUUGUCAGGAUCGAUCAUUUUAAUUUUUAAGCAAAACUUUUUAUCAAUGGACAAACACCUCACACAGCUUGUCAGAGGCAUUAUUAUGAUGGAAAACUGAUAAACAGUGAACUCGAAACUCAAUUACUACAAGUCGUUUAGAGGAUUCAGUCUUGGAUGACUUGUCACUUGUGGAAUUCUUGAAGCCAGAACCGACAUAAUCUCAGUCGUCAUUCUGUCUUAAGUAAUACACAUGGUUUGCAUGUGUGUUGAAGCUGACUCUUUGCUUGGAUCAAGAAACGACGUCUUUGAGUGCCGUUUCUUAAACACACUUUAAAUCAGCUUGUGUCAAGCACGUGAGGUAGAGCUUUUUGAAUAGAUUUGGCGGGAAUGGUAGUUAGUGUAACAACCCAGAAAUAGAGGUUAAAAGGUGAAGGCUUUGUCAUCAUCUACACAUGAUUUGGGAAACAUUGAGAGUAGAGAAAAAGAUAGAGAGAGAAAGGGGUUAACAAGUUCUUGUUCUCUGUAAAUCGAUUUAUAUUCUUGUAAAGUUUGUGAUCUCAAUUAGUGAAAGACUGUUGCUUUGUUUCCAGUGGAUGUAGGCACCACUUCUUGGUGCUGAACCACUUAUACUUGGUGUCAUAUUGUUUCUUUAAUGCUUUGAUUCUUGCGUGUGAUUGUUGCUGGAUAAUCUGUGCUGUUAAUUCUCAAACCAUUGAUACAGAAUUAAUGUCUUGGGGAGAAUUUGGUUAGUCUUAUCAAAGCCGAAUUCACAACAAAUUGGUAUCAGAGCCCUCUUUUCUGUAUCAAGGUUCAAGAAAUGACUAACAAGGUGGAUCUUGAGAAGUUCAAUGGUCAGAAUGAUUUCAAUAUGUGGAGGAUCAAGAUGGAAGCAUUGUUAAUCACACAAGGUCUGGGAGAUGCCAUUGAUCCAGUCAUUAAGAGUGAAAAUGCAGAAGCCUAUUCUUCAAGAACUCCAGAACAGAUGGCUAAGAUUGAAAAAAAGGCAAGAAGCACCAUCAUCCUCAGUCUUGGUGACUUAGUGAUAAGGGAAGUUGCCAAGAAAAAGACUGUUGCUAGGCUCUGGGCAAAACUGGAACAAUUGUAUAUGACAAAGUCCUUAGCAAACAGGCUAUACAUCAAGAAAAAGAUGUUCUCACUGAGGAUGAUUGAAGGAGCAUCACUUGAUGAACACAUAGAUGAGUUUAAUAAAGUUUGUGAUGAACUGGAAACAAUUGAUGAAGGACUGAGUGAUGAGAGCAAGGCUUUGCUGUUAAUCAGUUCUUCACCAAAAUCAUAUGAACAUUUUGUGGAUGCCUUGUUAUAUGGAAGGCAAUCACUCUCCUUGGAAGAGGUUAAAUCUACUCUUGGUACCAAGAAGUUAAAAGAAAAACAAGAUAACUCAGAGAGUGAAUCAAGUGAAGGGCUGAUGGCAAGGGGCAGAUCUGAAAAAAAGGAGUACAAAGGAAAAAAACAAGGGAGAUCAAAGUCAAAGCAGAAACAUUUGAAGUGUUUUCACUGCCACAAAGAAGGGCAUUUCAAGAGGGAUUGCCCUGAGAGAAAAACAAAGCAAAAGGAAUCAAAAGACAAAUCUGGAAAUACAGCAAUAGCCACAGAAGAAACCAGUUUUGAGAUAGCUGAAGUCCUCAUUGCCACAAAAGAAAAAAACUCAAGGUCAGUGGGUACUAGACUCUGGAUGUACUUUUCAUAUGAGUCCAAAUAGAAAUUACUUUACUACAUAUCAGUCCUGUGAUGGGGGUAUGGUGCUGAUGGGAAAUAAUUCAGUUUGUAAAGCAGUUGGGAUUGGGACUGUAAGCCUUAAGAUGUAUGAUGGCAUGGUUAGAGAACUAACUCAGUUUAGGCAUGUUCCUGAGCUUAAAAGGAACCUAAUAUCUAUUGGCAUGCUUGAUCAAACUGGAUGUGUCAAUAAGGCUGAAAAUGGGUCAUUGAAAGUUAUCAGAGGCUCAAUAGUCAUAAUGAAAAGUUCCAAGCAAAAUGGUUUGUAUGUGUUGAAUGGACAUACAACUGUUGGAGAGGCAAGUGUCACUGAGAAGAGUGAAGACAAAGCAAGACUAUGGCACUUGAGGUUGGGGCAUAUGAGUGAAAGGGGAUUGAAGGAGCUUCAAAAGAAUGGGGUGUUUGGAAGUGACAAGCUAAGUUCUUUGGGGUUCUGUGAAGACUGUAUCCUAGGGAAGGCUUCCAAUCUCAAGUUUGAAUCUGCAGUUCAUUCUACCAAAGAGAAGCUUGCAUAUAUACACUCUGAUAUGUGGGGGCCUGCACAGGUAAAUUCUCUUGGUGGCUUUAAGUAUUUCUUAUCCUUAAUAGAUGACUAUUCAAGGAUGGUUUGGGUGUAUGUACUCAAAACCAAAGAUGAAGCUUUGGAAAAGUUUUAGAGGUGGAAAAUUCUGGUAGAAACACAGACAAGUUUGAAAGUAAAAGCUCUAAGAACAGAUAAUGAAUUGGAAUUCUGCAACAAAGAGUUUGGAGACUUUUGUAAAAGACAUGAGAUUAUGAGGCACAAAACAGUCAUACACACACCUCAGCAAAAUGGUUUUGCUGAGAGAAUGAACAGAACCUUAAUGGACAAGGUGAGGUGUAUACUGCUAUACUCAAAGCUGCCUAAGUCACUCUGGGCAGAGGCCUUAAACACAGCAUGUUACUUGGUAAAUAUAAGUCCAUCUACAGCAAUAGAAUGCAAAACACCUAUCGAGCUAUGGUCUGGAAGGGUUGCAGAUUACUUUAAACUGAGAAUCUUUGGAUGUGUUGCUUAUGCAUAUGUCAAACAAGGCAAAUUGGAGCCAAGAGCUUUAAGGUGUAGAUUUCUAGGAUACCCUGAUGGAGUUAAAGGCUAUAGGCUAUGGUGCAUUGAUUUGAAGCCACCAAAAUGCAUUAUCAGCAGGGAUGUAACUUUCAAUGAGUCAGAAAUCUUGAACAAAUCCAAAACCACUUAAUCCAAAGAUCAUAUAUCAGAAACAAGACCUGGGAGUGUUCAGUUUGAGGUGGAGUCCUAUGAACAAGAUAGGACUGAAUCAGAAACUGAAGGAGAUUCAGGAAGGGUUACUGAUGGAUUUGAUGUUGUUCAGGAGUCAGAGCCAGCUGAGAAUGAAGAUAAUUCUUAUCAGUUGGUCAGGGAUAGAAAGAAGAGAGCUGUAAGACCACCUAAGAGGUAUACAAUAGCAGAUUUCAUAGCUUAUACAUUAACAGUUGCACAAGAGGUAAAUGAGGAAGAGCUAAGAACCUAUAAAGAAGCUAUAAACAGCAUGGAUAAGAUGAAAUGGAAGGAGGCUAUGGAUGAGGAAAUUGAAUCACUAAUGAAAAAUGGAACUUGGAAGCUGAUAGUUAGACUAGAAAAAAGGAAGACUGUUAGCUGCAAAUGGAUCUUCAAAGUUAAGGAAGGUAUAUCUGAUGCUGAACCUAGUAGGUUUAAAGCUAGGCUGGUAGCAAGAGGCUUCACACAAAGAGAGGGGAUUGAUUUCCAUGAAAUCUUCUCUCUAGUUGUGAAACAUGCCUCCAUCAGAGUCAUCUUAGCUUUAGUUGCCAUUCAAGACAUGUACCUGGAGCAUAUGGAUGUUAAAACAGCCUUCCUGCAUGGUGAAUUACAAGAAGAAAUUGUAAUGGAACAGCCUGGGGGGUAUGUGGUGUCUAGUAAGGAAAAUCAUGUGUGCUUACUAAAGAAAUAUUUAUAUGGAUUAAAGCAGUCUCCUAGGCAAUGGUACUUGAAGUUUGAUAGUUUUAUGACAAAACAUGCCUACAAGAAAUGCAAUUAUGAUUGUUGCGUGUACUUUAGGGACAUUGGUGAUGGAAAGAUGAUUUAUCUUAUGCUGUAUAUGGAUGACAUGCUUAUAGCAUGUCACAGCAUAGAUGAAAUCAGUCAUUUAAAGAAUCUCUUGAGCAGUGAAUUCGAUAUGAAAGAUCUUGGAGCUGUAAGGAAGAUCUUAGGUAUGGAAAUUAUCAGAGACAGGAGAAGGAAGCUUAUGUUUUUAACCCAACAGAGCUAUGUUAAGAAGGUGUUGCUUAGAUUUGGGAUGCAUGAAUCCAAGUCUGUUCAAACACCUUUGGCAAAUCACUUCAAGCUGUCUGCUGCACAUUGUCCACAAACUGAUGCAGAGCAAGGAAAAAUGGCAAGGAUACCUUACUCCAGUGCAGUUGGGAGCCUCAUGUAUGCCAUGGUUCUCACUAGACAUGAUAUCUCACAUGCUGUGAGUAUAGUGAGUAGAUUCAUGGCAAAUCCAGGUUAUGAGCAUUGGAGGGCAGUCCAGUGGAUAAUGAGGUACCUGAAAGGCACUAUGGAGUUUGGUCUGCUAUAUGGAGGGUUAAAACAGGAAGGGCACAAGCUGGUGGGGUAUGUUGACUCAGACUUCGCUGGAGAUCUUGAUAAAAGGAGGUCUCAGACAUGUUUUAUAUUCACUUUGGGAGGCUGCACUGUGAACUGGAAAGCUACUCUGCAAAGUGUGGUAGCUUUGUCCACAACUGAAGCCGAAUAUACAGCAGCUGCAGAAGCUUUUAAGGAAGUCAUCUGGUUAAAAGGAAUGGUCUCAGAGUUAGGAGCAAAACAAGAAACAGUUGAAGUAUACUGUGAUAGCCAGAGUGCAAUACAUUUGAGUAAAAACCAGACCCAUCAUGAAGGAACAAAACAUAUUGAUGUAAAGCUUCAUUUUGUAAGACUUGAAGUUUCAAAGGGAACUGUGAAGAUGCUCGAGGUUCACACUGAUCAAAAUCCAACCGAUAUGUUGACUAAAGCUGUGCCUUCUGCCAAGCUCAACUUCUGUUUGAGCUUAGCAGGAAUUUGCAGUUUCUGAUCAGCUGCAAAAGAAAGGGAAUAAAGUAUACAGGAGUAGCUAGAGUUCAGAGUUCACACUGAUUAAAAGGUGCAGGCUUUGUCAUCGUCUACACAUGAUUUGGGAAACACAGAGAGUAGAGAAAAAGAUAGAGAGAGAAAGGGGUUAACAAGUUCUUGUUCUCUGUAAAUCGAUUUCUAUUCUUGUAAAGUUUGUGAUCUCAAUUAGUGAAAGAUUGUUGCUUUGUUUCCAGUGGAUGUAGGCACCACUUCUUGGUGCUGAACCACUUAUGCUUGGUGUCAUAUUGUUUCUUUAAUGCUUUGAUUCUUGCGUGUGAUUGUUGCUGGAUAAUCUGUGCUGUUAAUUCUCAAACCAUUGAUACAGAAUUAAUGUCUUGGGGAGAAUUUGGUUAGUCUUAUCAAAGCCGAAUUCACAACAAAAACUGUAAUGGUAUAUCUUGAAUUAUUGGUAGAAUAGUUCUUUGGAGCAAUAAAAACAGAUAAGACAGAUGAGAAAAUUGUCAAUACCCCACCGCAAAAGCAAAAGAAAACAAGGAAAGGAGACAAAAGAGGAAGAAGAAAAAGAAAAAAGAACGAAGAAAAAAAUGGUGCCGUGCGGUAUAGGCAAGAAGAAAAAAUAAUAAAAAAUAAUAAAAUAAUAGUGCACAACAAUCAUUUGAUUGCUAUAAAUAAAAGGCGUUUCCCUCAUUUUAUUCAUCGAAUUCUUCAGUUCCUUUCAAGCGAUUUAAGAGUCUAGUGAUUUGAGAGUUUGGGUGUAGUAUGAUUUUGGGUAGUGAGCUAAAAUACUACAAUACUUGUAACUCAUUUUUAUUAGUAAAAUAUUUUCCUUCUGACUUCGCCCGUGGACGUAUGCUAAAAGCCGAAUCACGUAAUUUCUGGUGUCCCUAUGUGAUUAUGUGUCUCAUUAUUUCUUAAUUUCACUUUAGUUGCGUGUCUGCGACACCCCUCAAUUUAUUAACAAAAAAUGGCCAAAAUUAUAUAAGUGACCCAAAUUUUUUUGUUAUUUCCAAGAAAUCCCCAAUCUGAAUGGGCUAGACCAGAGGGAGGCAAGUUAGAAAUACAUUUCCUUCAUAGACAAUAACAGUGAUGAGUCGAUGACAUCAAGCCACGUCGGUAUCAAUAUUGAAUUAAAGGUGCAAUUAUUCAGCCAAUGAACCUUACACAUCAAGAUAAAAGUCAAGAAAAUGAAAAUUUAUCCCAAUUAAAACACUUUCUGGCUGCAUUUAGUUGUUUCCAUUAGAAGUUAAAAACAACGUUUCUUUCGUUUUGUGGGCAACUCAACUGAGUUAGCUGGCUUCUAGUGCUAGUAUGUGAAAAUAGAAGGCUAAUGAUUUAUUUAUUAUCUUUUGACAAAAUUAUUAAAGAUAUAAUAGAUUUUCUAUGAUACAAGUGAAAAAUCACAUCAACAUAGCUUUCAAUCUACAGCAGCUAGCGUUUACCAAACACUUUGUUGUAGCUUUUAAGCUAUAGCUGCCCAACCUCAAUCUCAAACGCACCCUUAAUAGGUUGAUUGAAUUUGUGAGAUAUGGAUUCCACAUAUCUCAUGACCUAGUAAUUAUACAAGUGGUUCGUGAUCAAGACACAACAUUUGCUUCCGGCCUAGUGACCCAGCAAUCGCUGCACUGGUCGCCACCUAUGGUGCCGACGAUAUUGCAUGGUCCAAUUGUGGCCUUGAAUGGAAAAAGUUGAGCAAAUUAUUUGUGGACACGAUGAUAAGUAACGCAAGCCUUGAUGCUAGUUAUGGUCAAAGAAAACAAGAGGUUAAGAAUACUAUCAGAGAUAUUCAUAACAACAAAAAGGAAAAAAAAAAGGCAUUUGCAAGCCCAUUGAUAUUGGUGAAUUGUCGAUUUCAACUUUGGCAUGUGUAAUCCAGAACCUGCGCGCUGUGGUAUGGCGCUGGCACGCUUGCAUUAACGAGGGGACAAGUCUUGGGGCUGAGCUAACAUUUAAGCUCGCAGAACUCAUGGUGCUAAUGGGAACACCAAAUAUUUUUUUGACAUAUUUUGGUGCUUUCAUGGUUUAAUUCAAGGUAUAGAAAGGAGUGUUGAGAAUGUCAAAUAAAACGGCAUUGAAUGGAAGUUGUCAAAGACACGAUCCGCACCGAACGGCAACGACACGGUUGCUAAAAAUCCUUCCAUAAUAUGCAUAUCUAAUUUUUUAAAAAGUGUAACCUCUGCAUUUAUAAAUAUACUCAAUGUAUAAUGUUUUACUUAAGAAAUGAAAAACUUGUUUGUUCAAGGAGAAUAAAGAAAAUUUUUCUAUGAUUUUUUUAUGGUUUGAACAAAGAAGGUUUUAAUGAGUAUUAUAGACCUCGAUUGAAUGUUCGAAUGUAUAAUAAAAGAGAAACUGUCACAUAAAUGACAAAGAUACUUGGAAAAAAAAAAAGGGCAGCAAUAGAGAAUUAGAUUCGACUGCACAAAUAACUAGUUAAUUCAUCAAUACAUCAUUUUCUUGCUAGAAAAUGACAAUUAUGACAGCAAGCCACGAUAGUGUCAAUAUUGAAAUUGAUUUGCAAUUAUUCAGCCAAUGUGCCUUACACGUCAAGAUAAAAGUCAAGAAAAUGAAAGUUAAUAUCAAUUAAAACACUUCCUGGGCCGCAUUUAGCUCCAGUUUUUGUGGUAGGAAAACAAAGUUUUGUUUUAAAUUCACAUGGUGUGCACUUCCUAUAUAAAUCUAGAGUUGUGUCCCACGUUGAACAAUAAAGGAAAGUCACCUAAAUAUACAUGUAGGAUAAGUUACUUUAUUUAGUAAGUUUGUAUUUUCUUCUUUCUUCUAGUUUACAUAUAAAUUUGAUUAGAUAACUUAACACAUAUUUUAAUACUUGAUCAGAAGCCCUACGUACAGGUGGAUCUAGAAACUUGAUUUCUAAGAGUAAUACUAUAAUAAAAAAAUAAUGAUUCAUAGAACCAAUAUCAAAAUUUGUUUACAAGAUUACCCCCACUCAAAGGUAAUUUUCAUAGAAAUUAAUAGGAAAUUUAAUUGUUAGUGGGGUCAAAUUGCCCCCACACUCUGAAUGUAGAUCCACGCCCGACCCUGAGUCAAGUAUAUUUUGCCACAUAUACUCUGAAUGUCGGCAGGAAAAAUCUUCCACUUUAGUUUAAAAUUUUCACUUAAAAUUUAUUUACGUUAAUAAAGUUGGUAAAGGAAAUGAGUUUAAUUAAAGAAUAUUAUAGGAGAAAUUCUAUUGUUUGGCUUUUAAUAAAUUAAUUAAUAGGUUUAAAAAGAUUAAUAUACAUCAAAAUAUUAUUAGUUGGUGGUGGUUCCACAUCGGACUAAGACGUGGCACCUUACUUGUGAGAUUAAGACAAUCAGGCUUAGACUAUUUAAAUAUGUUUGAAGCUUAGAUGGCACCGCUUCAAUUUGCAUUAAUGAAUGUCAUUCUUUACCCUAAUUACUACGUAAUUGAUAACAUGCAAUUGAAAUAACUAAUAUUAGCACUUGGCUAUAAAUGAACUAAAGGCCGUGCAAUUGAAUCUUUACUUGAUCACUUCAUUCCUUUAUUUUGCUAACACAGAUUUUGAGAUAUUAAAACGAAAUAAUAAUUGAAUCUGGCUUUGUGGGUCGAUGAUGCCAGCAACAACGAGACCACAAUUAUCACUUGUUUAUUUGCUGUAUUUGACGUUGUUUCAUAUUGGUAGUAAUAACUAAUAAGGUCGUUGUAGAGUUUUUAAUCUUUUUUUUUAUAUUAAUCACGAGGUAUCCUGGGGAGGGCCCCAACUGUGGGAGGCACCUUUAAGCUCGUACCACAACCCAGACUAGAAGUCCCCGCUCGAACCGGGAGGCACAGUUUUUAAUCUUUUUUAUAUUAAAGUUAAGUCAAUUUGUUAUAAAUAAAUAAAAAAUUGGUUGAGUUUAAUUAUAUUGCUAUGUACAUUAAAUAAUUAUAAUAUUCUCGAGGGAAAAAGACACCUAGAACCUCAAGGUUUGGGGAAAUGGUCACAAAAACUCCUAAGUUUUAAAAAAGGAACACUAAAAUCUUUUUUUACCCAUAAUACCCUUUGACUAUAGUAAUUAGAAAAUUGACUUUAAAGGUUUUUAAAUAAUACAAAUUUAAUAUAAAUCAUAUAAUCUAUCUAGUACACUAAUAAUAUUAAAUUAUUUUUUAUAUUUAAAAUAAUGUUAAAAAAUUUAAAUUAUUAUAUUUAUUUUAAUAAUAUAUUUAUAAAAUUAUAAAGAUUUUAAAUAAAUCUUUGGAUUGAAUAUAUUUUACAAUUAAAAGUCUUCCUAUUAAUAAUAUUAAAAUUAAAUUUUAAGUAAUAUAUAUUCAAAAUAUUUUUAAUUUAAUUUUAUUUAUUUUAAUAUUAUGUUUCUAUCUAUUAUUAAAAAUUACUUUAAUAUAAUAAAAUAGGUCUAAUAGAUUGAAAAAUAUGAAAAUAUUUUUAAAAUUUUAAAUUAUUUUGAAAUGUAUAUAUUAUUACAUUUAUUUCAAUGUCAUAUUUCCAUUUAUUAUAAAAUUUUGGGGUUAUUUUUUUGGGAAUUUAUAGAGUCAAAGAGCAUUAUGGUUAAAAAAGAGUCUUGGUGUCCCUUAUUGAAAACUUUAGAGUUUUUGUGACCAUUUUCCUAAAUCUUGGGGGUGUUGAAGUGGCACUUAUUGUAAGAUUGAUUUUAAAAUAUGUAAAAUUAAUUUUAUUACAUUACCAUAUGCUACAUCACCUGAAACUUAAUAAAUGGAACGUAGCAUUACUCCACGUUCACCGUUAUGACCUUAUGACAUUAGAAUUAAAAUCUUUCGUACGUUUAAAUUGUUUACUUCCAAAUUAAUCUUUCGUAAAUAUUUUGUACAGAUCUUAUCGGAGUUAGCGUGUUCAUUACAGUGUUUCUUUUCUUUUAUCCUUUCUUUUGAAACGUAUUUCCUGUGGACAAGGAAAGCAAAUAAUACCCUGCCACCAGGACCUCGCGGCUUGCCUGUAAUCGGAUACCUUCCAUUUCUCGGAAUUACUGACUUACACAAGACAUUCACGGAAUUAGCUGGUCUAUAUGGCCCGAUCUUCAAACUCUGGCUUGGCAACAAAUUGUGUGUAGUGGUUAGCUCGCCUUCAACUAGUUCUAUAAGAAUAUCCCUUUUAAGGGAUUCUCUCUCUGCAAAAUUUUUUUAUCUUCUGGUGCAUAAUAAAAACUUAUGCCACUUCAUUAACCACAGAUAUCUUUUGAGGAAACGAUGUUUCGUUUUCUUUUGUUUUUUCCUUCCUAAUCCUCGCAUAUCGUGUGAAGGCUAAUAUAUCCAAGAAUCUAAAUCUCUGUAAAUCUUUUUCUAUCCAAAUCUACAUAAUAAUUUAAUCCAUGCACAAUAUCUAUAAUUAUAUCGGCUGUCGGCUGAUUUCGUGGAGGGGGCGGCAGUUCAAAUUUUUUACGUGCAUGUUGGAUGGACGUCUCUAUUAAAGGAGAGCCACCACUUGCAUGGUAAUUUUUUUAAAUAAAUAUAUACAUUUCAAAAUAUUAUUUCAUUGUUGUAUAGUUAACAUGUCACCUUAGAUGUAUUUUAGAACUUCUCCUAUUAAAGAUAAUCUCAUGCAGUGAUACUUCUCGUGAUCUAAUCAUUAGUAGAAUCUAUAAUUUCGCUACUGUAAUAAAAUCUGUCCCUACCCUAUAUGAAUGUAGAUAUUUGACGCGAUUUGUAAUUGCUUCCGACAGGAAAACAGCAAUAGUUUAAUUGAAAUUUGUGGUAUGGAUUCCACGAAUCUUAUGACAGAAUACUGACCACUCCAACCCUAUCCACAUUUACACGAUUAAAACACAAGCUUAGAUGUGACAAUGCAUUUGUCACUUUUGUUCAAAUUCAUCCUGAAACACUAUACACUAAAUAAUCGAAUAUGGCUUCGUGGGUCGAUGAUGCUAGCAGCAACGAGACUGCAAUUAUCACUUGUUUUGUUGCUGUACUUGUCGUGGUCUAUUUCGCAUGGAAUGUAAACAAAUCAAGUAAAGCAAAUGCUAAAUUGCCACCAGGAUCUCGGGGCUUGCCAGUAGUCGGAUACCUCCCAUUUCUUGGAACUACUGACUUACACAAGACAUUCACGGAGUUAGCUGGAGUUUAUGGUCCGAUCUUCAAGAUUUGGCUUGGGAAUAAAUUGUGUGUAGUGGUGAGCUCGCCUACCCUAGUUAAACAAGUGGUCCGUGAUCAAGAUAUAACAUUCUCAAACCGCGACCCACCGAUCGCUGGAACUGUGACCACCUACGGUGGCAAUGAUAUUGCACUUUCCAAUUAUGGUCCCGAAUGGAAAAAGUUGCGAAAAUUAUUUGUGAGCAAGAUGAUGAGUAAUGCAACCCUUGAUGCUUGUUAUGCUCUAAGAAAACAAGAGGUUAAAAAUACUAUCAGGGAUUUGUACAACAACAAUAAGGAUAAUAUUGGCAGUGGCAAUGGCAAGCCCAUUGACGUUGGUGAAUUGUCGAUUUCAACUUUGGUACGUGUUAUGCAGAACAUGCUGUGGGGUCAAGCAUUGGAAACAAGAGAGAAAGAGAUUACUAAUCUCGGGGCUAAUCUUGCAGAACUCAUGGUGCUACUGGGAACACCAAAUAUUUCGGAUAUUUUUCCAGUGCUUUCAUUGCUUGACAUGCAAGGUAUAGAGAGAAGAGCUAAGAAGAUUUCUCUAUGGUUUGAAAACAUUAUCAAUUCUGGUGUUGAACAGUAUAGAAACAAGUUUUCUGUUGUUAAAGGUGAAGAAGCUGCAGCAGGAAAAAAUAUUGAACGAUCAAGAAAUAAGGACUUCUUGCAGUUACUGUUGGAGCUUCAGGAAAAUGAAGAUAGUGCUUCAUCUAUUAGCAUGAACCAACUAAAGGCCGUGCUCGUGGUAUGUUAAGCAACUAGACACAAAAAGUUGUAAAAGCACAGUGAUAUAUUUGCGCGAGGCCGCGAGUGAUGUUUUGCCUCGAGAACUCUCAAUUUUAUCUUACGGUAAAAAAUGUUUUUCAACUUUUUUUAAUUAGAAUUUUAUUGCAAUUUAUUUAACAGGACAUAAUUGUGGCCGGAACCGACACCACAACUACGAUGGUGGAAUGGACAAUGGCAGAGUUGAUGCAACAUCCACAAGUAAUGAAGAAAGUUCAAGAAGAAUUAGCUCAAGUUGUGGGCAUGGACAGUUGUGUUGAAGAAUAUCACUUGCCUAAAUUAAAUUAUUUAGAUGCUGUGGUGAAAGAAACAUUUCGUUUGCAUCCUGCGUUGCCCUUAUUGGUACCUCGCACGGCAAGCGAGAACAGCAAUAUUGGUGGCUAUACCAUUCCCAACGACACUAAUUUUAUGUUGAAUGUUUGGGCUAUUCACAGGGAUCCUCAACUUUGGGAUAAUCCCUUAGAUUUUCGACCUGAGAGGUUCUUGAAUGAUGAUAUCAUAAGCAAAUUCAAUUACUCGGGUAACAAUUUUCAGUACUUGCCAUUUGGUUCUGGUAGAAGGAUGUGCGCUGGCAUUCCUCUAGCUGAGAGGAUGUUGAUGCUUGUUCUGGCUUCGUUGUUGCACUUGUUUGAGUGGAAAUUGCCCCCGGGCACAAAGCUAGACUUAGCUGAAAAGUAUGGGAUUGUCAUGCGGAAAAAAGAGCCUCUGAUUGCUAUUCCAACACCAAGGCUACCAAAUUCAGAUCUCUACCAGUAAGAUCAAAAUGGUUGUGAUGAUAUUAUUUCCCAUUGUAUUGGAAUAUUUUUGUGUGAUUUGAAGUUCAAUCAUAAUAAAAUAUUUUAAUAAAAUGUCCUCGGUUGCUAAUUUUUCAAUAGUAUACUCUAUCAUCGUUUCUAACUGUCUUUUAGAGCCAUUUGGUCUAAUUUAUUUUUGAAUUAAAAUCCAUAAAUAUUUAAAUUUUUGAAUCAUAUUAAGAAUUAUCUGGAGUGUAUGGUCUGAUCUUCAAGUUCUGGCUUGUAAACAAAUUAGAGUUCUGAUAUUUGCCCCGGGUCAAACCCCGAAAUUAAAUAAAACGGCGUCGUUUUGUUUUUUUUUUUUUUUUUUUCUUUUUUACUUCUUCCAAACGUUGCCAUUUCACUUGUCAUUUGCAAGUGACUCCAUUGAUCCUUAGUUGAAACAGAGUUACACCGUAAAUCUCUUCCUCUUCGUUUCUUCGUUUCACCAGGGAACGAGACAGAUAAAAUCCAGCCAUUCUUCGACAUAACAAGAUAUCGAUUAGAAUCCAACGACAUAACUAUAAACCAUGACAUUGCGCUUGAUUUUGCGAAAUACCGAUUAAGAACCAGUAACUUUGAAUCCAAUGACCGUUAAGAGUUUGAAAUUGGUUUCAAAUGACUAAUGAGUUAUCAGAUUUCUUUGCGUCUACAUUUUCCUUGAAGGUUUCUCAGCAGCCAAACAAAUACAAAGCAAAUUGCAGAAGAAACACAUUUUGUUCCAAUGAAAAAUGUACGGAAACAUUUUAAAUAUGGAAAAUUACCUCAAAAUGAAGGCUCGCAAGAGAUUCGAGCAACAAAUUAGAUCAAAGGAACCGGCGCUGAGCAAGAAAGUGAGCUCAAAGAUUCCGAAACACAAACGUAAAUUCACAAAAAUGCAAAUCUAUGAUGAACGCCAAGAUCAAAAUUUUCGAAGAAAGGGAGCUGAAAAAAUAAAUGAAACGUCAAACUAGAUGACAAUGGAUUUGCUUCUUCAAAGGAGACAAUGAAAUUGUUACUAGAGACAGCUAGAGAAAUAGAGAGAGAGAGAGAGAGAGCUUGAAUUGGCUGUACCCCCACCAGAAAGUGGGUAGUGCCUUUUCCACUUGGACUUGAUAUGCGAAUCUGAAAAAAUCUGAACGAAGGACUGACUCAUCCCAGCUCGAAAGCAAACCAAGCUAGGACUGACUGAAAACGUUGCCGUUUGGAGAAGUUAAAAAAAAAAACUAAACAAAACGACGCCGUUUUGUUUAGUUUCGGGGUUUGACCCGGAAUUUGACCCGGGGCAAACAUCAUUUUCCAACAAAUUAUGCAUGGUCGUGUACACGCUUUCCCUAAUUAAGCAUGAGGUUCGUGAUCAAGGCACAACAUUCACUCCCUGCGACCCAACAAUCGCUACAUUGUUUGCCACCUAUAGUGCCAACGAUUUUGCACGGUCCAAUUAUGGUCCCCAAUCGAAAACGUUGCGCAAAUGUUUUCUGGGCAAGAUGAUAAGUAACGCAAGCCUUGAUGCUUGUUAUGGUCUAAGAAAACAAGAGGUUAAUAUAUAUAUAUAUAUAUAUAUAUAUAUAUAUAUAUAUAUAUAUAAAUUGGCAUUGUCAACUUUUGUAUGUUUUAUUCAGAACCCGCUGUGGGUUGACGCUAGCAUGCUUGCGUUAGGAGACGAGGGGACCAAUCUUGGGGCUGAGCUAAAAUAUAAGCUUGUAGAGAUCAUCUUGCUAAUGGUAAUGUUUUCCGAUGCUGGUUUAAUUCAUGGUAUAAAAAGGAGAACAAAAAAGAUUUUUCUAUGCUUUGAAAAUAUUAUAAUUUUUAUUUUAUAAUUUUUAAUAAAAUCUCUCAUUGAUAGCCAAACAAUUAAAAUUUUUGUAAAGCUUUUGUGGACUUUUGAUCGCGUAUGGUGCCAAUGUAUUGCGUGGUCCUAUUAUGGUUCCAAAUGGAGAAAGUUGCACAAGUUUUUUGAGUACCAGAAGAUCAGUAAUGUAAGCCUUGAUGGUUGUUAUGGUCUAAGAAAACAAGAGGCUAAAAAUUCUAUCUGGGAUUUUUAUAACAACAACAAAAUUGGCAAGCCCAUUGACAUUGGUGAAUUGUCAGUUUCAACCUUGGUAAGUGCGAUUCAGAACAUGCUGUGGGGUGAAACGCUUGAAAUAACAAAGAAAUGGAUUUACUAAUAUUGGGGCUGGGCUAAGAUUUAAGCUUGCAGAACUCACGGUGCUAGAGGGAACACCGAAUAUUUUGGAUAUCUUUCCAGUGCUUUCAUGGUUUAAUAUACAAGGUUUUCAGAGAAUAGCAAAGAAGAUUUCUCUAUGGUUUUAAAAUAUUAUCAAUUCUACUGCUGAACGCUAUAGAAACAACGUCUCUAUUGUCAAAAGUGAAGAAGCAGCAGCAGCAGGGAACAAUAUUGAAGGAAGGAAUAAGGACUUGGUGCAGUUACGCUUGGAGCUUCAAGGUAAAGAAGACAAUGCUUCAUCAAUUAGCAGGACGCAAUUUAAGAGCUUGCUCGUGGUAUGUUGCGCAACUAGCCACAGACAGUUACAGAAACUGAGUUUGGCAGAUUACGACCGUUUCUGGUGAUUACAUAAUUAUUUGUGGCUGUUUUUUUUUUUUAAUUGUAAUUUUCUUAACAGGAUAUAAUUUAGGGUGGAACCAACACCACAACUAUAAUGGUGGAAUGGACAAUGGCAUAAUUGAUACAGCAUCCACAAGUAAUAGAGAAUGUACAGGUAGAACUAAAUCGGGCCGUGGCCAUCGACAGCCAUGUUGAAGAAUUUCACCUAGCUAAGUUAAAAUAUUUAGAUGCUGUGGUGAAAGAAACAUUCUGCACUGUAAUAUAAUACAUGAAUCAUAUGUCCUCUAUUGUUUUUUUAUUUUUCUCUUUUUUUCAAUAGCUUAAUCUAUCAUUAAAAUCUUCUGAAAUUCUAAAUUAAUAUACAUUCAACCUAGAGUUCAAGCCAAAGUUUUAUUGAGCAUUAAAAAAAAAAAAAAUUCUACGACUCAAAAUUUUGUGGAGUAUAAAUUAAAAAUUAUGCGCCUACUAAGAGACAAAAAAUAAAUGAUACACAUUAACCAAUCAAAGGCGAACAAGAGAUUAUUAACAAUAACCUAAUAAUAAAAUUAUAAUGAAUAAAAAAGAAAUGGUACCUAGAAACACAUCACAGCCAUUUAAGCAAUCACUUACCCACAAAAUCCAAACAUAUAAACUAUGUGGGGGGGGGGGGGGGGGGGGGGGGUGUCAUGAUACCUUUGGGUUUCAUGAUAAUCAAAAUUGCAAUACCAUUAAAGACUCAAAAAUAAAAAAAAUCAUAGCCAAUAAAAGAGAAAAAAUAACCCACAAAAAAUCAUCAAGAAAAUAAAUUUGAGACUAAGAGAAGAUAUUAAUUAAACCCUGGGUUGCCUUGGAACCACGGCUUUGGCUUCCAUUUUUCAAUUCUUGGCGACAAGUCAUUUCUUGUUUGUUUACAAAGAUGACGGCUGAUUAAUGAAGCUCUAUUAACAAUGAAUAAAUAAAAAAACUGGCGCCUUGAAAAGACUAACGGUCAUAUUUUUCAACUCCGAAUUAGUGCCGUUUGAUGAGUCCUUGCCAAAACAAUCACUAGGCAAAUAACAAUCAUUUUUCAACCAGCAAAACUCAUUCAUUGUAUUUCACCUUAGUCAAGAUUUAAAAAUUGUUUCAAAAUAAACCUAGUGGUUAGAACCCAAGCGUCACAAUUGUGAGGUCAUGGGUUUGAGCCCCCACAACGUAUUGUGGGGGUUAAUUUUCUUCUUCAAUUUGAGUGAAAACAGUUCUCUCCCUUUCGAAAUGUGGGUGGAGUGGACGUCCCUCAAAUAUUAGAGAGGGUUCAAAUUUGGAUUGUACUAUAUAAGAUUUAUAAAUUAGUCCCAGUAAUUAUCUGAUUGUAAAUAUCAAUAUACUAAUCUAAUUAAAUAUGAGUUGUAAUAUGAGCGUUAGUCUCAUGUAAUUAAAAAAAAAAUGUUUCAAAAUAGGAUUCUUAAAAGGUUGGGGAAAUGGCCAUCAAUAUCCCCAACUUUCCAAAAAGAGACACCAAGACCCAUUUUGACCAUAAUACCCUUUACUUCUAUUAUCCCCAAAAAAUUGACUCUAAUGUUUUAUAAUAAAUAAAAAUAUAACAUUAAAAUAAAUGUAAUAGUAUAUACAUUUUAAAAUAGUUUCAAUAUCUAAAAACCAUUUUAAUAUUUUAAAUCCUAUUAUAUAUAUAUUAAAGUAAAUUUUAUAAUAAAUAGAAUCAUAAUAUUGAAAUAAAUGCAUUAAAAUUUAAAUUAUUUUUAAUAUUAUGUAAAAUAAUAAUUUUAUCAUUAUAAGUAUAUGAGAAUUUUUUUAAUUGUAGAAUGUAUUUAAUGCAAAUAUUUAUUUAAAAUCUCUACAAUAAAUAAAAAUAUACUAUUAAAACAAAUCUCUACAAUAUAUACAUACAUACAUAUACAUUGGCCUGGUAUUUUAUUUUUCAUUUUUUAAACUUAUUAAAUCCUCUAACUAUCAUUUGAUUAUUUUUUUCAAUGAUGAAGAGGCCAUUGCCGGAUAAAUUAUUAAAAUCAACUAGUUCUACAAGAAUGUCCCUUUUUAAAGGAAGAUGAUUCUCUCUCUCGAAAUUUUUUAUCUUGUGCUACAAACUAAAAACUUAUGCCAUUUCAUUAACCACAGAGAUCUUUGAGGAAAUGAUGCUUCGCCCCCCCCCCCCCCCCCCCCCCCCCCCCCCCCCCCCCGCGGCGCCAAAAAGUGUCCUUCCAUAUUUUGUGAAGGCUAAUACAUCGAUGAAUCUAGAUUUCUUUAAAUUUUUUGUUUUACUCAAUUCGAGAUAAUAAAUAGUUUAUCUUUAUUAAAUCUUUACUUUAACAAUGAUAGAUAUUCAAUCCAUGCAAAUAUCUAUCAUUGUAUGAGCUGAUUGCGUGGAGGGAGCGGUAAUUGAAAUCUAAUUGAAAACAGCAGAAGGCUGUUCUUGACAGAUCUCAAAUAUAUUACGGACACGUUGGGAGACAUCUCUAUCAUAGAUAUCCCCAUGCAGUGAUAUUUGUCGUGAUCUAAUUUUUAGUAAAUCUGUAAGAGAGAUUGUAACAUCUUUCAAGUUUUUUGGUUUGAUAUUCUAGACGAAAACGGUUUGUCGUUUCUUGAGCAAACGGCUAACCGUUUAAGUCCAGAGAGCAUGUUUGUUGUUCUGGAUAAAACGGCUCACCGUUGUUGCGAAAACGGCUAACCGUUUAACUCAAGAGAGCAUGUUUUAUGUUCUAGAGAAAACGGCUCACCGUUAUUGAGAAAACGGCUAACCGUUUAUUUACAGAGAGCAACGUAUUUGAUAUUCUGGAAUAAAAUGGCUCACCAUUUAUUGAGAAAACGGCUAACUGUUUAUUUCCAGAAAGGCGUCAAUUAGAAAAACGGUUAGCAAGAAUGAAAAUUUCAAUUGACAAUCGAUGCAAAUUCAAACCAAAAGAGUGUCUUCGAAAAAGUACCAUUUCUAAUGGUUGUAUUCUUUCAAAUAAACAUCUUCUUCAUUAAAGAAAUACACACAAUUAGAUUGAUAAUCAGAUUUUGACAGGUUUCUUAUAUGUUCUGGAAAUACAAUCUUAUUUGCUAGAGAUUGUAUUCAGGAUUUGUUAUAUCUUGGGGGUAAUUUGCCAUUAAAACUAUAUAGCAAACCAAGAUUGGUGAGGGCAAAUAAAACCUUAAAGGAAAGUAUGCAAACACGUCUCAAAUCCUAUGAAACUUUCUUUGUUCUUUGCCUCCAUAUUCUUAUUAUUCACUAACAAAAUCCCCAUGCAGUGAUAUUUGUCGUGAUCUAAUUAUUAGAAAAAUCUAUGAUUUCGCUACUGUAAUAAAAUUUGUCACUACUCUACAUUAAUCUAAAUGUCUGAUGAGAUUUGUAAUUGCUUCCGACGGGAAAACAGUUAAUAGGUUGAUUGAAUGUAUGUGGUAAAGAUUCCACGUAUCUCACGACAGAAUGCUGACCACUGGAACCCUAUCUACUUUUACGCGAUUAAUUCACGAGCUUAGGCACGACAAUUGCAAUACAAAUUAUCCCUUCAUCAUAUAUUUCGUUAAAAUUCAUUCUGAAGCACUAAAACUAAACAAUCGAAUAUGGCUUUGAGGGUCGAUGAUGCCAGCAGCAAUGAGAGUGCAAUUAUCACUUGUUUAGUUUCUGUGCUUGCCGUGGCUUAUUUAGCAUGGAAUGUGAAAAAAUCAAGGAAAGCAAAUGCUAAACUGCCACCAGGACCUCGCGGCUUGCCUGUAGUCGGAUACCUCCCAUUUCUCGGGACUACUGACUUGCACAAGAAAUUCACGGAAUUUAUUUUACUAUUAUAUUUAUAUUCAAAAUAAUUUUAAUUAGCUUUUAAAAUGAAUGAUUUUAGGAAAUUAUAAAUAAAGGUAACUAAGAAUUCUCUUAAUGUAAUAUAUUAUUAAUUAGUUUAAAAAUACAAAUUUAUUAAUUAGAGAAAUUAUUAGUGAAUUUAAAUUAAUGAUCUUAAUGAUUUGUUUGUACGAUUGCCCCCAAUCAAAGGUAAUUUUCCUAAAAAUUAUUAGGAAAUUAGAGAAAUUUAAUUUUUUUAGUGGGUUCAAUUGCCCACACACCCCGACUGAAGCAUUUUUUACAAUAUGUACUCCGUUUGUCGGCAGGAAAAUAAAGGUCUUGACACAUGAUCACUUCACUCCUUUAUUUACUUUGCUAACGCAGAUUUUGAGGUAUUAAAACAAAUAAUAAUUGAAUAUGACUUUGUGGGUCGACGACGCCAGCAACGAGGAGACCGCCAAUUAUCACAUUUUAAGUUUGCUGUAAUUGCCGUUGUUUUAUAUUAGUAGAAUAUUAGUGAUAAGAUAAUUGUAGAGUUUUCAUUUUUUUAAUAUUAAAAUCAAGUCAAUUUAUUAUAAUAAAUUUAGUUGAAUUUAAUCGUAUUACCACAUAAAUUGAAUAAUAAUAGAAUUCUCGACAAUAUUUCAAUAUUUUAAUCUCAAGCAUUGGAGUGGCAUUUAUUUGUUAUACGGUCGAUUUUAGAAUUUAUAAAAUUAUUCGUUGCUGAAUUGCACCAUAUGCUGCAUAACCUGAAACUUAAUAAACGGAACGUAGCGUUGGCACCGUUACUCAACAUUCACUGUUACGACUUUGUGACAUUAGAAUUAAAAUCUUUUCCACAUUUAAUUUGUUUACUUCCAACUUAAUAUUUAACAAAAUGUAUGUUAGCAUUGUAUGCCAUAUCAUCUGUAAUUUUGUCAGGAUCGAUCAUUCUAAUUUUUAAGCAGAACUUUUUGUCAAUGGACAAACACCUCAUACAGCUUGUCAGAGGCAUUAGUAUGAUGUAAAAUUGUAAUGGUAUAUCUUGAAUUAUUUUAGAAUAGUGAAUAACUAUUUGGAGCAAUAAAAACAAAUAAGACAGAUGAGAAAAUGGCUAAAAUUAUAUAAGUGACCCAAAAUUUUUUGCUAUUUCCAAGAAAUCCCCAAUCUGAAUGGACCAGAGGGAGGCAAGUUAGAAAUACAUUUCCUUCAUAGACAAUAACAACGAUGAGUGGAUGACAUCAAACCACGUUGGUAUCAAUAUUGAAAUAAAGGUGCAAUUAUUCAGCCAAUGAGCCUUAGUACACAUCAAGAUAUAUAAAAGUCAAGAAAAUGAAAAUUUAUCCCAAUUAAAACUCUUUCUGGCUGCAUUUAGCUGUUUCUGUUUAGGGAUGGCAAUUUAAUCCGGACCCAGCCCGACCCGGAUGAAUCCAGAAAAUUCGGGGUGGAUUCAACCCGUACCGGAGUGAAUAAAAUCUGAUAUUCAAAUUCAAUAUUUUCAACCCGGACGUUUCCGAGUCCGGAUCCGGAUUUGGGUAAACCCGCAUAUCCGGAACCCGGAUCCGGAUAACUAUUUUAAUAUUAAUUUUUAAAUCAUUUUAAAAUAAAAAAAAAUUAGAAAAAAUCAGCCCUAAUGCCCUUCCACAGCCACGGCAGCCAAACCAAACCCAGACAUUUCCUCUCUCUCUCUUUAGCCCUUCUUUUCAACAAAUCAUCAUCGUUGCUCAUCAUCGUUUCGUCGUGUUCAUCUUCAUCUUCAUCAUCAGCUGCCGUUUGUCCAGCUAUGUCACUAGUUUUGGCCGCCGUUUCCGUUUGUGCACCUUCGCAAAUCGGGAUCUCGAUUUGGCCGCCAACACUUCUACCCCCUGGUGUUUUGCUUUGUCCUCGACAACUUCUUUGUUGAUAAAUUGACGGGCACUUAUGAAUGCAUUUGUCUCUGUUUCUUCAUUUACACCUUCCCAGUUGUUUGUUCAUUUGCUUUUUGGAAGGAAAAAAAAAAAAAAUCAGCCACCAUUUAUCCUUCCCCUUUUCUUGACCUAACCCCACAAAGCCCAAUUUGUCAUCAUCAUUCAUUGGCAAAUUUGUUAUCAUCAUGGUUGAGACAUCAUGAUUAUCUUUGAUAAUUGAAUUUGUGUAAUAUGUUACCUUGGAUUUUAUUUCUAAGUAUUUGAUUUUGAAUUAUUUUCCAUUAUUGGUGUUAAUAGAUAGAAGAUUAGAAAGGAAUUCUUCACUGAAUAAAGAGAUGGGAAAUUGCAUCUUUUAGCAAUCAUCCGGGUUAUAAACCCGGAAUCCGGAAACCAGGAUUUUUCCGGGUUUAACCCAGUCCGGACCCGAAUGAAAAAUAUCCGGGUUUACAUCCGGGUCUGGUAUUAAAAUUUAUCGUCCGGAUCCGGAACAGGGAAGACAAAACCCGGACCCGAACCCACAUUUUGCCAUCCCUAUUUCCAUUUGAAGUUAACAACAACGUUUCUUUCGUUUUGUGGGCGACUUGACUGAGCCAGCUGGAUUCUAGUGCUAGUAUGUGAAAAUAGAAGGCUAAUGAUUUCACGUUCACUAGCCCACCUCCCCUCCUCUCGUUUCCUCUGAAUCAAUUUUCACGUGUGGUACCGAUUGAAAAUAUCUCUGACAUUUCGUGGACAUCUCUAUUGAAAAUAUCUCAGACAUUUCACUCAGGCAAACUUAUUAAUAUAAAAAAUCUAUGAUUUUUUCGUCUUAUACUGUAGAAAAAUUUGUCUAUACAUUAAUCUAGAUGUUUGAGGUGGUUUAUACAUCUGUGGUAUAGAUUUAUAGGUUGAUUGAUACGUCUGUGGUAUAGAUUUUAUGUAUUUCAUUAUCAAAUGCUGGCCUUUGGGACCCUAUCUACAUCUAUUUAUAAAACUAACGGGUGCCAGUUAUGCCAUUACAAAUUAUCCCCUCUUCAUACAUUUCCUUAAAAUUCUUCUGAAACACCAAAACUAAAUAAUCGAAUAUGGCUUUGCGGGUCGAUGAUGCCAGCAACAAUGAGGCUGCAAUUAUCACUUGUUUAGUUUCUAUGCUUGCCGUGGUUUAUUUCGUAUGGAAUGUGAACAAAUCAAGGAAAGCAAAUGCUAAACUGCCACCAGGACCUCGCGGUUUGCCUGUAGUCGGAUACCUCCCAUUUCUCGGAACUACUGACUUGCACAAGAAAUUCACGGAAUUAUCCGGAGUUUAUGGUCCGAUCUUCAAGCUCUGGCUCGGAAAUAAAUUAAGUGUCGUGGUGAGCUCACCUUCCCUAGUUAAACAAGUGGUUCGUGAUCAAGAUACAACAUUCGCAGACCGUGACCCGCCGAUCUCAGGACUAGUGACCUCCUUUGGUGGCAAUGAUAUUACAUGGUCCAAUUACGGUCCCGAAUGGAGAAAGUUGCGCAAAUUUUUUGUGGGCAAGAUGAUGAGUAACGCAAGCCUUGAUGCUUGUUAUGCUUUAAGAAAACAUGAGGUUAAAAAUACUAUCAGGGAUUUGUAUAACAACGGCAACAAAAUUGGUAAGCCCAUUGACAUUGGUGAAUUGUCGAUUUCAACAUUGGUAUGUGCUAUGCAGAACAUGCUGUGGGGUGAAGCGCUUGAAUUAAAAGAGAAAGGGACAACUAAUCUUGGGGUUGAGCUAAAAUUUAAGUUUGCAGAACUCAUGGUGCUACUGGGAACACCGAAUAUUUCGGAUAUCUUUCCAAUGCUUUCUUGGCUCGACAUACAAGGUAUAGAGAGGAGAGCAAAGAAGAUUUCACUCUGGUUUGAAAAAAUUAUAAAUUCUACUGUUGAAAAGUAUAGAAGCAAGGACUUUAAUGUUGAAGGUAAAGAAAGAGCAGGGGAAAAUUUUGAAGGAUCAAGGAACAAGAACUUCUUGCAGUUACUAUUGGAGCUUCAAGAAAAUGAAGACGGUUCUUCCUCAAUUAGCAUGAACCAAUUUAAGGCCGUACUCGUGGUAUGUUAAGAAACUAGCCGCAAACAGUUAUACAAGCACAGCUGUAUAUUUUGCAUGAGUGAUAUUUUCAACCUUUUUUUUUUAUAAUUAGAAUUUUAUUGUAACCUUUUGGACAGGAUAUAAUUACGGCUGGAACCGACACCACAACUACGAUGGUGGAAUGGACAAUGGCAGAGUUGAUGCAGCAUCCACAAAUAAUGAAGAAAGUUCAGGAAGAAUUAGCUCAAGUUGUGGGCAUGGACAGUUGUGUUGAAGAAUUUCAUUUGCCUAAAUUGAAAUAUUUAGAUGCUGUGGUGAAAGAAUCGUCUCGUCUGCAUCCUGCAGUGCCUUUAUUACUACCACGCAGAGCAAGCGAGAGUGGCAGCAUUGGUGGCUAUAACAUUCCCAAAGAUACAACUAUUAUGUUGAAUGUUUGGGCAAUCCACAGGGACCCUAAACUUUGGGAUAAUCCCUUAGAAUUUCGACCCGAGAGGUUUCUAGAUGAUGGUAUCGCGAGUAAGUUCGAUUACUCAGGUAACAAUUUUCAGUACUUGCCAUUUGGUUCUGGUAGAAGGAUGUGUGCUGGGAUUCCUCUAGCUGAGAGGAUGCUGAUGUUUGUUUUGGCUUCGUUAUUGCACUCAUUUGAGUGGGAAUUGCCAGCUGGCACAAAGCUAAACUUAUCUGAAAAAUUUGGGAUUGUCAUUAAGAAAAAAGAGCCUUUAGUUGCUAUUCCAACACCAAGACUAUCCAAUUCAGAGCUCUACCAUUAAGACAGAAUGGUUGUGAUGAUUUUGUUAAUUUCCGAAGAUUUGUAUGUUAUGUCAAGUUCAAUCGUAAUAAAAUAUUUCAAAUAAGAGUCCUCCGUUGCUUUUUUUUUUUUUUUCAACCGCAUAAUCUGUCGUCAUGCUUGUAUUUGGGGCUACUUUGGAAUAAUUAUGUUUGAAUUACAAUAUAUAAAUAUUACAUUUUAAAAUUUUAUGAGAUUCUAAAUUUAUACACGUUCAAUAACCCACUUCAUAUAUGUUUAACACAAUUUAUAUCAUACAUUGUAUACCCAUUUGUCAUAAAUUACGCUAUUUUAUAUCUCUAAAUAAUAUUACAUAUUGAUAUUAUAAAAUGUUGUUAACUCACGUGUGUAUAUAUAUAUAGCAAGUCACGUGCAUAUAUUAUUGGUUGUUAUAUGUUUGCUAGUUUGAUAGGAUUUCCUUUCCUUGUGAACUAGGGUAAUUCUUAUGUACAUAUAAAUAUUGAUCAAUAAGAGUGCAGAUGAUGACUGCAGUUUUGCAUCGUAGAAAUUCUUCGUAAAAUAUAUAUGUUUAUCAAAAGGCUAUACCAUUCAAUAUAUAUUGGAAAGAGAACAAAGAAGAUCUUCUUAUGGUUUGAAAAUAUUAUGAAUUCUGCUGUUGAACAGUAUGGAAACAAGGUCUGUUGUUAAAGGUGAAGAAGUCACAGGGAACAAUAUUGAAGGAAGAAAUUUCACGUUUAGUUGCUGAAUUUGCCGCUGUAUUCUAUCGGUAGUAAAAAGAUUAGAGUUUUUAUUUUUCUCUAUUAAUGUUAAGUCAAUUUUCUAUAACAAAUUCGGUUGAGUUUAAUUGUGUUACAAUAUAAAUUGAAUGAUAGUAGAAUUUUCAACGAAUAAUUCAAUAUUUCUAUCUCGAUUGUUGAAGUGCCAUUUAUUUGUUAUACGAUCGAUUUUAAAAUUUAUAAAAUUAUUUGUUACUAAAUUGCAUCAUAUGCUAAAUCACCUGAAACCUAAUUUCAUAACUAACCCUUUAUUUUUAGUUCUCAAGAAAUCUUGUAAGAACAAAAUUCUUUUGUAACAAAACGUUUACAACAAAUUAAUUUGUAACUCAUUCCUGUGCGAGAAUCACUCUCAAUUUCCUUCAAUUGCUGUUUAACAAUCAUCUGCUUAUCAAAAUUCAAGCAUAAUCUUUUUUUUUAAUUUCUUCAUCAUUCUUUUGAAAAAAAAAAUCAGGAUAUGCUGUUAAAUUUUGAAAUAAAUUAUCUCAAAAUAAUUACUAACCAGAAAAAACAAAGGGGUUUAACUAGGUUAUGCAUACCUUUGAAAAUUAUAUGUUGAUCGAUAAGAAUGAUGAUCACGAUUGACGAGUUUAAUUAAAAUAUAUAAGAUUUUAAAAUUAAUCAGGGUUAAAUUGUGAAUUUUAGAAAGAGAGGUUUUGUGAGAAUGUUGAAAGGGUGUUAAUAGUUCCACUCUUUUUAAAAACAACCAUAGUCAUCAUUUUUCCAUGGUUGUUUUUAAAAAGAGUAUUUCUUCUUCCCAUCUCCAUCUUAUUUAGAAAUUUCCCAGAGCCUUUGUUUCCCACCUUUCAUUUUUCUUCUUUCUAAUUUAAUAAUCCACCCUUCUUGUAUUCAAACUAAAAAAUUAAAAUCUGAAAAUUUAAAACCCAAUAUUAUAGUAUUAUAAAAAUAAUUACUCACAUUUUAUCAAACACCUCCAUUCUUCCAAGGCCUUGUUUUAGUAGUAGGCUUUUAUUAUCUCAAUAAAAUUGAAAAAAAAAAUCUCAAUAAUAUUGGAAAAAAACCCUACCCAUAUUUGUAACUUUAAUUUAUUAUUCUCCAUAGACCUACUUUUUAGUUUUGAAUUUUGUUGGAGCCAUAUAUAAACAGAAUAUGUUGAAAUCAGCACCCAAAAAAAAAAAAACUAAUUAUAUAAUUUAUGUUCCCAAGGACAUGGCUGAGUGAUUUUCAAGAAGUUUUGUUUGGCUGGCCACUUAGGUUUAAAUCUUGGUGGAGAUUAAGGGUUAAGAAAUAAAUUUAGACUUUGCACACCCCUUUAACUUUUAAAAAGAAAUGAAAAAAUUAAUUAAUUAAUCUUUAUUUUAUUUAUUAAAUGUCAUAAUCCUAUGCGUAUUUUAUUUGUUAUCUUUCUAUUUAAAAGACGAGGGCAGAUAAAACUGAAAUAAAUUUUUAGCCCUAUCUCCAUAUUUCAAGUUCCAUAGUUAGGUGACCAGCUAAAAAAAAUUAAUUGAAAGCUACUCCAUCAAAUUAAAAAAAUUUAUUUAUUUAAUUUGUGGAGAUGUAGAAAAUCAAACCCCAUACCUUUUCGCAUACACUGAACAUAUUUUAAUACAUGACUAUCAUCCUUUAUCCUAAAUACUACUAUAACUAAUAACAUACAAUUGAAAUAAUUAAUGUUAACACUUGGCUAUAAAUAAAGGUUUUGUGCUUGAAUCUUCACGCAUGACCUUCAUUCCUUUAUUGACUUUGCUAACACAGAUUUUGAGGCAUUAAAACUAAAUAAUAAUUGACUUUGUGGGCCGAGGAUGCCAGCAACAAGGAGACCACAAUUAUCACUUAAGUUACUCUAAUUGCCGUUGUCUUAUAUUCAUAGAAUAUUAGUAAUAAGAUUAUUGCAGAAUUUUUUUAAUAUUAAAAUUAAGUCAAUUUGUUAUAACAAAUUUAGUUGAGUUUAAUCGUGUUACUACAUAAAUUGAAUAAUAAUAGAAUUCUCGACAAAUAUUUCAAUAUUUUUAUCCCAAGCGUUGGAGUGGCAUUUAUUUGUUAUACGAUCGAUUUUAGAACUUAUAAAAUUAUUCGUUACUGAAUUGCACCAUAUGCUGCAUGACCUGAAACUUAAUAAACGGAAUGUAGCGUUGGCACCGUUACUCAACAUACUGUUACGACUUUGUGACAUUAGAAUUAAAAUCUUUUGCACAUUUAAUUUGUUUACUUCAAAAUUAAUAUUUAACAAAAUAUUUUUUUCACAUUAUCAAUGGACAAAACUCCAACGAAAAUAACUACACAAGAAAAAUGUAUGCUAGUAUUGUGUGCCAUAUCAUCUGUAAUUUUGUCAGGAUCGAACACUCUAAUUUUUAAGCAGAACUUUUUAUCAAUGGACAAACACCUCACACAGCUUGUCAGAGGCAUUAUUAUGAUAGAAAACUGUAAUGGUAUAUCUUGAAUUAUUGGUAGAAUAGUUCUUUGGAGCAAUAAAAAUAGAUAAGACAGAUGAGAAAAUUGUCAAUACCCCACCGCAAAAGCAAAAGAAAAAAAGGAAAGGAGACAAAAGAGGAAGAAGAAAAAAAGGAAAGGAGACAAAAGAGGAAGAAGAAAAAGAAAAAAGAACGAAGAAAAAAAUGGUGCCGCGCUGUAUUGGGAAGAAGAAAAAAAUUAAUAAAAUAAUAAUAAAUAAUAAAUAAUAAAUAAUAAAAUAAUAGUGCACAACAAUCAUUUGAUUGCUAUAAAUAAAGGGGCAUUUUCCUCAUUUUAUUCAUCGAAUUCUUCAGUUCCUUUCAAGCGAUUUAAGAGUCUAGUGAUUUGAGAGUUUGGGAGUAUUGUGAUUUUGAGUACUAAGUUAAAAUACUAUAAUACUUGUAACUCAUUUUCACUAGUAAAAUAUUUUUCUUCUGUCUUCGCCCGUAGACGUAGGCUAAAAGCUGAACCACGUAAUUUCUGGUGUCCCUAUGUGAUUAUGUGUCUCAUUAUUUCUCAAUUUUACUUUAGUUACGUGUCUGCUACACCCUUCAAUUUACUAACAAAAAUGGCCAAAAUUAUAUAAGUGACCCAAAUUUUUUUGCUAUUUCCAAGAAAUCCCCAAUCGGAAUAGACCAAACUAGAGGGAGGCAAGUUAGAAAUACGUUUCCUUCAUAAACAAUAACAGCGAUGAGUCGAUGACAUCGAGCCACGUCGGUAUCAAUAUUGAAUUAAAGGUGCAAUUAUUCAGCCAAUGAGCCUUACACAUCAAGAUAAAAGUCAAGAAAAUGAAAAAUUUAUCCUAAUUAAAACACUUUCUGGCUGCAUUUAGCUGUUUCUAUUUGAAGUUAAAAACAACAUUUCUUUCGUUUUGUGGGCAACUCGACUGAGUUCGCUGGCUUCUAGUGCUAGUAUGUGAAAAUAGAAGGCUAAUGAUUUAUUUGUUAUCUUUUGACAAAAAAUGUUAAAGAUAUAAUAGAUUUUCCAUGAUACAAAUGAAAAAUUAUAUCAACAUAACUUCCAAGCUACAGCAGCUAGUGUUUACCAAACACUUUGCUGUAGCUUUUAAGCUACAGCUGCCCAACCUCAAUAGGUUGAUUGAAUUUGUGGGAUAUAGAUUCCACAUAUCUCAUGACCUAUUAAUUAUACAAGUGGUUCUUGAUCAAGAACAACAUUUGCUUCCGACCCAGUAACCCAGCAACUGCUGCACUGGUCGCCACCUAUGGUGCCGACGAUAUUGCAUGGUCCAAUUAUGGCCUUGAAUGGAAAAAGUUGAGCAAAUUAUUUGUGGGCACGAUGAUAAGUAACGCAAGCCUUGAUGCUAGUUAUGGUCGAAGAAAACAAGAGGUUAAGAAUACUAUCAGAGAUAUGCAUAACAACAAAAAGGAAAAAAAAAAAAAAAGGCAUUGGCAAGUCAAUUGAUAUUGCUGAAUUGUCGAUUUCAACUUUGGCAUGUGUAAUUCAGACAUUGCGCGUUGUGGUAUGGCGCUGGCACGCUUGCAUUGCCGAGAGGACAAAUCUUGGGGCUGGGCUAAAAUUUAGGCUUGUAGAACUCAUGGUGCUAAUGGGAACGCCAAAUUUUUUUAACAUAUUUCGGUGCUUUCAUGGUUUAAUUCAAGGUAUAGAAAGGAGUGUUGAGAAUGUCAAAUAAAACGACAUUGAAUGGAAGUUGUCAAAGACAUGAUCCGCACUGAACGGCAAUGACACGGUUGGUAAAGAUUUUUUCAUAAUAUGCGUAUCUAAUUUUUGAAAAAUUGUAACCUCUGCUUCUAUAAAUAUGCUCAAUGUAUAAUGUUUUACUUAAGAAAUGAAAAACUUAAUUCUUUAUGGUAUCAGAGCGAGGCUCGUUGCUCUGUUUGUAACAAAAACAAAGAAAACUAAAUUCUUCCCACAACUAUUUUUCCACCUUUUUUUCUUCCUUAAAAGCAUUCCUAGCAUUACAGAAACCCAUGCCAAUAAAAGAACAAGCCACACAUAUGUAAAAACUUUAGUUUACAAAUCUAUCAACAUCCCCAUAAAUUUUCCCAAAAAGUGAUCUUCAAAAACCAAAAAUACCAUCAAUUUUCGCAUCUUCUAGUAAACAAACUAUAAAAGUUUCGCACUCAAACAGAGCCACACGCGCCUCCACGCGCUUCCCGGAAUCACGGCCAACCACCACGCGCCUCUGUCACCACCAACUCACCCUCAUGCGCUCCAGAUGUUGCAGAAGACGCAAAACGACGUGUCGUUUUCUUCUCUAAAAGUGCAGCAACGUGGAAAUGACUUUUUGUUUUUGCCUUAAAUUGUUUUUCCUCGUUUGAAGCUAUACAACAUUUUUCUUUCUAAACCUGUUUUUUACAAUAAAAAAAGAAAAAAAUGGAGAAAACUCCAACUGAAUCUACUCAUGUUGUCAUUCAAUCUGUUCAACCUGAUGGAGUAUUUAAUGCCGAAAUUAUCCUUACUAAGACAAACUACGAUAUUUGAUCUCAAAUAAUGGAGAUGCAUCUCGCAGAAAGAAAAAAACUCCCAUAUAUUCGUAGCAGCAUAAAUCCAUCUGACAAAUUUUCAAAGAAAUAUGAGAAAUGGUAUAGUGAGAACCAAAAAGUAAAAAGAUGGUUACUCAUAACCAUGUGUCCUGAGAUCAUGAAGCGAUAGUUACAAAUUCCUACAGCCUACGAAAUUUAGAAUGCAUUAUCAAAAGCCUUUUAUAAUGGAAGCGAUGAAAUACAAGUUUUCACUCUAAAUCAGAAGGCGUUCUCUACGAAGCAAAAUGGACAACCACUCUCUAAAUUCUACGGAGAAUUGAUCAAAAUGUUUCAAGAACUUAAUCACCGAGAUAAAGUGGUCAUGAAGGAUCCAGAAGAUGUUAUAAUAUAUAGGAAGUUUGUUGGAAGAUUGAGAGUGCACAUUUUUCUUGCUGGACUAGAUGAAGAAUUUGACCAAGUUUGUGGAGAAAUUCUACGAAAAGAUACUAUCCUAGACUUAAAAGAAUGUUAUUCUCUAAUCCGAAAAGAAGAUGUACGGCAAAGCAAACUAACAAGAAGGUGGACGACUCAGAAACGUCUGCUAUGAUACCACAAGAGAACAAUGUUUUGAAAUUGUUCGAUAUCCUGACUGGUGGGAUACUCGAAGUAAUAACACAAAGCAGAGAUAAAAAACUGCAGUAGCUGAAUCCACAUCCACUACAGAUCUUAGAAAAGAAUCUUCAGCGCAAAUUGCAACCUCUGUCAAUUCAGGUAAGGUCAUUAAAACUCUUACAUUUGUUAUUAAUAGUAUAUGGAUAAUUGAUUAUGGUGCAACUGAUCAUAUGACUUUUGAUUCUUGACAAGUUUCUUAAUUGAAACCAUCUUCACAUAAACAUGUUUCUACUGUAAAUAGAACCACAACCUCAGUUAUUGGGGAAGGAUCUUUACAACUCACAAUUAAAUCAAAUUUAGACUUUGUGUUAAUUGUUCCAUCUUUAAAUUAUAAUCUUUUAUAUGUGUCUCAAAUAACCUCUUACUUAUCAUGUGUUGUAAUGUUUUGGCCCGAUCAUUGCAUGUUUAAGGACAUCCAAAUGAAGGAAACGAUUGGUUAUGAUAUUAAAUAAGGCAACUUGUAUUACCUGGAGAUGACAUCAACAAACACUGAAAAGCUAAGCCCCGCAUUAGUAGCAGACAAUUCCAUGAAAAAAAAGGAAAUAAGAAAUUUGGUUAUGGCAUAGACGAUUAGGGCAUGUGUCAUUUGAUUUCUUAAAAAAAUUGUUUCCUAGUUUGUUUCUGAAAUUUGAUAUUUGUAACUUUAAAUAUGAUGUUUGUGAACUUUCAAAUAGCCAUCGAACUACUUUUCCAUUGUCCUUAAAUAAGAAUCCAAUUCCUUUAAUGGUAGUACAUUCUGAUGUAUAGAGACCAUCUAAAGUUUCUACCAUUGGAAGAGCUCGUUGGUUUGUUACAUUUAUUGAUGAUUGUAGCAGAAUGACAUGGAUUUUUUUAUGAAAUUAAAAUCAUAUGAUGGUGACAACUCUAUUUCAGACACAAAUUUGAGUUCUACAUACUGAUAAUGGAGGCGAGUAUAUGAGCACAACAAUUCAACAGUUUUUGAAAUCACAAUGAACUCACCACCAAACCACUUGUGUGGGGACACUCCAACAAAAUGGCGUUGCUAAACAAAAAAAUAGACAUUUACUAGAAGUUGUUCAAGCAUCACUAAUUUAGGCCCGCAUGCCACUAUUUUAUUGGGGAGAAGCAUUGGCAUCCGUAGCAUACUUGAUCAAUCGGACACCUUCAAUCUUCCUUGGAUUCCAAACUUAUUUUCUAGUUCUAAAUGAAGAAUUAUGUCAUCAAAUGUGUCGAAUUUACCCCCACAUAUGUUUGGUUGUGUUGCCUUCGUUCAUUUGCCAUGACAAGAUAAAUUAUCUCCUCGAGCACUACGUUGUGUGUUUGUAGGGUAUGCCUUACAUCAAAAGGGGUACCGAUGCUAUCAUCCUCUAUUAAGAAAAAAUAUACAUCACCAUGGACAUAAUCUUUCAUGAAGAUAUCAUGUAGUACCCAUCGGAGCUUGAAUUUCAGAGGGAGUAUAAUGAAGAGGAAAUUCAUACUCUUACAUAUCUUUCACCUGAAGAAGAUCAAUCCUCCAUUGAGGUAGUAAACGUUCAAGAUACUGGAAAAGAAAACGACAAUGAUUCUCAGGCUGAGACAAGUGAAGACACAUUUAGGGAGCAAAAUAACUCAGACAUAACCACAAUCGAGAACGAGUCCAUGAAGAGCCACAUGAAGAAAUAUCUAACCAAUCAUCUGCAGAGGAUGAUCCUACCACAAAUCCCAGUCUAAUCAGAAGAAUACUUCCCCAGCAUCAAAAUAGAGGUAUCUCUAAACCCACAUAUAAGACUGACCUCUCUAGUAGAGUCAAAUACCCUAUGAGUCAUUUUGUAUCUAACCAUGGCUUAUCAAAAUCAAAUCAGUCAUUUGUGAAUCAAUUAUCUACUGUGUCUAUUCCUAACAGUGUGCAAUAAGCCUUAAAAUAUCGAAAGUGGAAAGGGCUAUGAAUGACGAAAUGAGAUCUCUUUAAAAAAAAUCAAACAUGGGAACUAAUUGAUCUUCCACCAGGAAAGAAACCAGUGGGUUGCCGAUGGAACUAGUUGAUCAUCCACCUCCAUUCUGACAAGCAAUGUUUAUCAGCAAUAACAAAUGACUGAAGCAUUUUAAUGAGGUUAGUAACGAAAAAGAGUUUAAUUAGAGAAUAUUAUAAGAGAAAUUCUAAUUUUUGAUUUUUAAUAAAUUAAAAUAUCUUAAAAUAUUAUUAGUUGGUGGUGGUUUCAUGUCAGAUUAAGACGUGACACCUUACUAAUGAGGUCGAGACAAUUAGCUUAAAUUAUUUCAAUGCAUUUGAAAUUUCCACUAAUGACUAUAAUUCUUUGUCCUAAUUACUAUGAUAAUUAAUAACAUACAAUUGAAAUAGUUAAUAUUAGCACUUGGCAAUAAAUAAUUAAAUUUCAUUAACACUAAAUAAUAAUUGAAUAUGGCUUUGUACAUCGAUGACGCCAGCAACAAGGGGACCGCGAUUAUCACUCUUUAAGUUGCUUUUAAAAUUGAUUUUAGUAGUGAUAUGAUUAUUGUAGUGUUUUUAUUUUUUAUAUUAAAAUUAAGUGAUUUGUUAUAAUAAACUUAGUUGAGUUUAAUGGUAUUACUACAUAAAUUGAAUAGUUAUCAAAUAUUUUAAUAUUUUUAUGGCAAGCGUUGACGUGGCAUUUAUUUGUUGUAUGAUGGAUUUUAAAAUUUAUAAAAUUAUUUGUUAUUAAAUUACCCCCAGAUGCUACAUCACCUGAAACUUAAUAAAGGUAUGAAGACAUGUGUGUGUGGACUGAAAUGAAGAAUAUGGAAAAGUUGAGAGCUGUUGUGCAGAUUGAGUUCAGUUGAUGGGGUCUAUUAGAUAUUGUCUGCUGACGUGGCAUGAAUUCGUUAUAAUCUGUUAUAACGAGUUCAGUAUAUCAGUAUACAAUAGAGCUGAUGGAUGGUGCCUGUUUUAGAGUCUUUUUUAUAUUCAUUUGUUCAUCAUUUUGCGCAAGAUCUGUUCCAUUGUGAUAUGUGUAAAGUCUUAUGUAAACCCACUUAUGAUUGGAUUAGUUCUUGAUUAAUAACAACGAGUAAAUUUUCCUUCAAGUGUGCUGGUCUGUGCCCCUGUUUUUUGUUCUGAUAUUGUUUCUUUGUUCUGGCAUUUCAUUUCGAUUGUGUUCUUGGUGUUUCUACUCAUCAAGAUUUAUGAGUCUUGUUGAGAUUAAAGACUUAAUAGUCUUAACAAGUGGUAUCAGAGCCUGGUGAAUCUCAGCCAUGUCUCUUUCGAAGCAUGAAAUUGAAAAAUUCACCAUUGGUGGUGAUUUCUCGCUUUCGAAAUUAAAAAUGAGGGCUCUCCUUGUGCAUUAGAGGCUUGAAUUUGCUCUGGAAAAAGAUAAUCUAGAGGCUGCUACAAGUUAUGUGACUGAUGAUAAGAAGAGACAAAUCCAAAACCGAGCUCGUAGCACUCUAGUUUUGAGUCUUGGUGACUCAAUCUUGAGAAAGAUUUCUGAAGAGAAGACAACCUUAGGGAUUUGGAACAAGGUAGAAGCUUUGUGUACAAAGAAGUCGCUAGCUCACAGACUAUUCUUGAAGAAAAAGUUAUACACAUUCUCGAUGAGAGAAGGAGUCACAAUUCAAGAUCACAUUGAUACCUUCAACAAGAUCAUUCUUGAUCUUGAAGGGGUGGAAAAUGUGACAAUAAGUGAUGAAGAUAAAGCCUUCUUCUUGUUGAGUUCCUUACCAAAGUCUUAUGAAGGCUUUGUAGAUACAAUGCUUUAUGGCAGAACAACAUUGACUCUUGAAGAUGUUAAAGCAUCUCUAAGUUCAAAAGAGAUUCAGAAGAACAAUGAGAUUGAAACAAAUAAUGGUGAUGGGCUGAUUGCCAGAUCAGAAAAGAAGAAAGAUCAGAAGAAUAAAAAUCAGGGAAAAUGACAUGGAAAGAAUUAAGAAAAUGCAGACAAGAAGAAAAAGAAGAGAAAAUGCUUCUACUGCCGGAAGGAAGGGCAUUACAUCAGGGAUUGUCUUAAAAAGAAAAAAAAAGAAAGUCAAGAGAAGUCAGGGGAUGCAGCUGUAGCCUCUGAUGAUGCCUCUGAUGGAUAUCACAUUGCUGAUUUACUUGUGGCCUCAAAUAGCAAUACUAAAGGUCAGUGGGUCAUAGACUCUGAGUGCUCUUUUCACUUGUGGCCUGAUAAAACCAUAUUUUACAAAUAUGAAGUUGUUGAUGGUGGUAGAGUCUUAAUGGGAAAUAAUAAUGUGUGUAAUCUUGUUGGUAUUGGUUCUGUGAAGAUCAAGAUGUUUGAUGGAACUGUAAGAGCUCUACAUGAGGUGAGGCAUGCUCCUAGGCUAAAGAGAAAUCUAAUCUCUUUAGGCAUGCUAGACAGCUUAGGGUAUUUCUUUAAAUCAGAAAGUGGUGGUUUAGAGAUAAGAAAGGGGACUGAGAUAGUGAUGAAGGGGGUUAAAGAAAAUGGCUUAUAUGUAUUGUAAGGCUCAUCAGUGCUUCUUCAAAAGGGAAUUUCUGCUCUUUUUGAGGAAGAUAUAACCAAGUUAUGACAUCUUAGACUUGGUCAUAUGAGUGUCAAAGGGAUGUAAGAGCUCAGCAAACAAGGGCUACUUGGUGGGGAUAGAAUCCAGCAACUGGAAUUAUGUGAAAAUUGCAUUUUUGGCAAAGCUCACAGGUCCAAGUUUCACAAGGGGGAGCAUAUGUCUAAGCAAGUUUUGGACUAUGCACAUGCUGACCUUUGGGGGCCUGCUCAAGUCCCAUCCUUGAGUGGUGGCAGGUAUUUCAUAUCACUAAUUGAUGAUUACUCAAGGAAGAUGUGGGUCUACAUACUCAAGACCAAAGAUCAAGCCUAGGAAAAAAUUCAAGGUAUAGAAAUCUUUGGUAGAAAAUCAAUUUGGAUUCAAGCUCAAAUGCUUGAGAACUGAUAAUGGUUUGGAAUUUUGUAGCAAAGAAUUUGAGGAAUAUUACAAAAAAACAUGGCAUAAAAAGGCACAAAACAGUCAGGUUCACCCCCCAGCAGAAUGGCUUGGCUGAAAGGAUGAACAUGACCUUGGUAGAUAAGACCAGAUGUAUGUUGAUAAAUUCAAAGCUUCCAAGAAGCUUUUGGGCAGAAGCUGUCAAUACAACAAGUUGUUUGGUUAACAGAAGCCCAUAUUCUGCAAUUGGCUUCAAAACACCAGAAGAAUUGUGGAAGGAAAAACCUGUAAAUUACCAAAAUCUCAGUGUUUUUGGAUGCCCUGCUUAUCUCCACAUCAAUCAAGGCAAGCUGGAAGCUAGGGCCUUGAAAGGAGUCUUUGUUGGAUAUCCUGAUGGGGUUAAGGGAUACAUAAUCUGGUGUAGAGAGUAAGGGAAGUGUAUAGUCAGCAGGGAUGUUGUGUUUCAUGAAUUUGGAUUGCUAAAAGAAAAUGCAGAGAAUGAUACUAGACUACAAAAUGAUUCAAUAAUUAUCAAACAAUCUGGAACUUCCAAGGUUAAGGUGGAGCUGUUUGGAAAUAAAGACAGUAGAAAAGAGGUAGCUGAUUAUGAAGAGAGGACCACAGCUAAAGUUGAGGAACAUGAGUCAUCAGAGUUGCCACAAGCUGACUUGCAGACUUAUCAGUUAGCAAGAGAUAGAGUUAGAAGAGAAGUCAAAGCACUAGUGAGGUAUGGCUAUGCUGACUUAAUUACUUAUGCAUUGUUGUGUGCUGAUGAUGUGGCAAUUGAAGAGCCUGCUAACUUCUCUGAAGUUAUUGAAAGUGUGCAUUGUGAUAAGUGGCUUGAGGCAAUGCAAGAUGAAAUGGGAUCCCUUCAAAGAAAUCAGACCUGGACACUUGUUCCAAAUCUAGGUAAUAAAAAGUUGAUCAGUUGUAAGUGGAUCUUCAAGAAGAAUGAAGGAAUUCCAGAUGUUGAACCUCCCAAAUAUAAAGCAAGGCUAGUGGCUAGGGGGUUUACACAGAGAAAGAGUGUAGAUUUCAAUGAAAAAUUUUCCCCUGUUCUUAAGCACAUUUCAAUAAGAAUUUUAUUAGUCAUGGUAGCCUUACUUGACUUGGAGCUUGAGCAAAUGGAUGUAAAAACAGCAUUCCUUCAUGGUAAUCUUGAAGAACAGAUAUUGAUGGCACAACCUAAAUGUUUUGAGUGCAAAGGAAAUGAGGAUUAUGUUUGUUUGCUGCAUAAGUCCUUGUAUGGACUCAAGCAAUCCCCACGACAGUGGUACAUAAGAUUUGAUGAUUUUAUGGUCUCAAAAGGCUAUCACAUAAGCAAAUAUGACAGUUGUGUUUACUUUGGUGGAUCAUAUCAAGGUGGAGUUGCUUAUUUGCUUCUGUAUGUUGAAGAUAUGUUAAUUGCAAGAAAAUAUAAGUUGGAGAUAGAGAGGUUGAAGAAAUGAAGGAUCUCGGCAAUGCCAAAAGAAUCCUUGGGAUGAACAUUACAAGGGGCAGAUCUGCUGACACUUUGUUCUUGAGUCAUGAGAAAUAUAUCAAGAAGGUUCUGGAGAGGUUUGAGAUGCAAGACUAUAAACCUGUCCAAACACCACUUGGUCCCCAAUUCAAGUUGACAGCAGCUCAAUCAUCAGAAGAUGAGUCUCAGGUGAGUGAAUUCCCAUAUGCACAGGUUGUAGGGAGCCUGAUGUAUGUAAUGGUAUGCACCAGGUCAGAUAUAGCUUAUGCAGUAAGUGUUGUCAGCAAAUUUCUCAGUUGUCUAGGCAAGGUUCACUGGAAUGUUGUAAAAUGGAUAAUGAGAUAUCUUAAGGGCUCUUUUACUUGUGGUUUGCUGUAUGGGAAGACUAAGAGUGACAUAAGUGAAGUCCUGGGGUUUGUAGACUCUGACUUUGCUGGAGAUCUUGAUAGAAUGAAGUCAACCUCAGGGUAUAUGUUUGUGUUAAACAGUUGCCUGAUUAGCUGGAAGUCAUCACUUCAGUCUGUGGUUGCUUUAUCCUCAACUGAAGCUGAGUUUGUUGCAACUACAGAGGCAGUAAAAGAGGCCAUGUGGCUAAGAGGUUUGCUUAAUGAGUUAUGGUUAAAUCAGAAAAUUGUUCAGGUUUUCUGUGAUAACCAAAGUGUCAUACACCUGGUAAAGAAUCAGAUGUAUCAUGAAAGAACCAAGCACAUUGAUGUGAAGCUCCAGUUUAUCAGAGAUGAGGUUGGAAAAGGAACUAUAAUUGUGUCCAAGAUCUAUACCAGUGUGAAUCCAACUGAUGUUAUUACAAAAGCACUUCCCACUGCAAAAUUUGAAUUCUAUGUGAAUCUAAUGGGCAUCUCGCCCAAACCUAACUAAAUUCAAUAGUGAAUUGUAGUUGAAUGAAGGUUUUUUAGGUGCUGUGUUAUUGAAAGGAUCAACUGAAUCAACUGCAAGGUGGAGAAUGUGAAGAUGUGUGUGUGGACUGAAAUGAAGAAUAUGAAAAAGUUGAGAGCUGUUGUGCAGAUUGACUUCAGUUGAUGGGGUCUAUUAGAUAUUGUCUGCUGACGUGGUAUGAAUUCGUUAUAAUCUGUUAUAACGAGUUCAAUAUAUCAGUAUAUAAUGGAGCUGAUGGAUGGUGCCUGUUUUAGAGUCUUUUUCGUAUUCAUUUGUUCAUCAUUUUGCACAAGAUUUGUUCCAUUGUGAUCUGUGUAAAGUCUUCUGUAAAUCCACUCAUGAUUGGAUUAGUUCUUGAUCAAUAACGAGUAAAUUUUCCUUCAAGUGUGCUGGUCUGUGCCCCUGUUUUUGGUUCUAAUAUUGUUUCUUUGUUUUGGCAUUUCAUUUCGAUUGUGUGCUUGGUGUUUCUACUCAUCAAGAUUUGUGAGUCUUGUUGAGAUUAAAGGCUUAAUAGUCUUAACAAAAGGGAAUGUAGCAUUGCCAUUAAUCAACAUUCACUCUUAUGACUUUAUGACAUUAGAAUUAAAAUCUUUCGUACAUUUAAUUUAUUUGCUUCCAAAUUAAUCUUUAAUAAAUAUUUUUUCACAUUAUCAUCAAUGGACAAAACUCCAACGAAAAUAACUACACGAGAACAAUUUAUGCUAGUAUUAAAUGCCACGAUAUCUAUAACUUUGUCUGGAUCGAUCAUUCUAAUUUUUUCGCAGAACUUUUUGUCAAUGGACAAACACCUCACAGAGCUUGUCAGCCGCAUUAUUACGAUGUAAAAUUGUACCGGAAUAUCUUGAAUUAUUAGUAGAAUAAUGAAGACUAUUUGGGGCAAUAAAAACAAAUAACGCAGAUAAAAAAAUGGCUAAAAUUAUGUAAGUGAGCCCCAAAGUUUUUGCUAUUUCCAGGAAAUCCCAAAUUUGAAUGGACUAGAGGGAGGCACGUAAGAAAUACAUUUUCUUCCUAGACAAUGACAGCUAUGACAUCAAGCCACGGUGGCGUCAGUAUUGAAAUUAAGGUGUAAUUAUUCAGCCAAUGAGCCUUACACAUCAAGAUAAAAGUCAAGAUAAUGAAAAUUUGGCUGUUUCCAUUUGAAGUUAAAAGCAACGUUUCUUUCGUUUUGUGGGCGACUCGACUGAGCACGCCCCAAUAGCUAUAUUUAGGGCGUCAAUUUGAUAUUUGAAUGGACAGGCAAGUAAGAAAUACAUUUCCUUCAUAGACAAUGACAACGAGGACAUCAAGCCACAUCAUUAUAGUUUGUAGCCCAUCUACAUUUAAACGAUUAAUAAACAAGCUUAGGUGUGCCACUGCUAUUAUUAAUUAUCCCCUGAUCAUUAUAGUUUCUGAAACAGUAAAACUAAACGAAAUUGAAUACAUCAACGAGACCGCAAUUAUCACUUGUUUAGUUGCGGUAUUUAACUUAAUUUUAAUAUAAUAUAUUUGUUAGUUAAACUUUUAAUAAUCAAAUAAUUUUGAUUUAAAAAUAAAAUUAUAGAAAUUAUUAAUUAUUAAUUAUUAAAAAUUCACAAUUAAGGGAACGUUCAUCAAACACACAUAGCUAUUGUUUUCUCUAUAUAUUGCAGUGUGUACGAUAUUGAGGGUUGAAGCCCCAAGCAUGCUCUAAAAUCCAGAUAAUAAUUAGAUCCGGGCCAAAUAUUCAUCAUUGUGUCAGCUGAUCAGUCGGUGGACAUCUCUAUUGAAAAUAUCUCUGACAUUUCACUCGACAAACUUAUUAAUAUAAAAAAUCUGUGGUUUUGCCGUCUGAAUAAUGUAGAAAAAUUUGUCUAUGCAUUAAUCUAGAUGUUUGAGGUGAUUUAUACAUCUGUGGUAAAGAUUUAUAGGUUGACUUAGACGUCUGUGGUAUAGAUUUUAUGUAUUUCAUUACAAAAUGCUGGCCGUUAGAACCCUUUCUACAUCUAUUUAUAAGAUUAACGGGUGCCAGCUAUGCCAUUACAAAUUAUCCCCUCAUCAGAUAUUUCGUUAAAAUUCAUUCUGAAACACUAAAACUAAAUAAUCGAAUAUGGCUUUGCGGGUCGAUGAUGCCAGCAGCAAUGAGACUGCAAUUAUCACUUGUUUAGUUUCUGUGCUGGCCGUGGUUUACUUCGCAUGGAAUGUGAAAAAAUCAAGGAAAGCAAAUGCUACACUGCCACCAGGACCUCGCGGCUUGCCUGUAUUCGGAUACCUCCCAUUUCUUGGAACUACUGACUUGCACAAGAAAUUCACGGAAUUAUCCGGAGUUUAUGGUCCGAUCUUCAAGCUUUGGCUUGGAAAUAAAUUAUGUGUAGUGGUGAGCUCACCUUCCCUAAUUAGACAAGUGGUUCGUGAUCAAGAUACAACAUUCGCGAACCGUGACCCACCGAAGGCUGCACUAGUGGUCUCCUAUGGUGGCAAUGAUAUUGCAUGGUCCAAUUACGGUCCCGAAUGGAGAAAGUUGCGCAAAUUUUUUGUGGGCAAGAUGAUGAAUAACGCAAGCCUUGAUGCUUGUUAUGCUCUAAGAAGACAAGAGGUUAAAAAUACUAUCAGGGAUUUGUAUAACAACGACAACAAAAUUGGCAAGCCCAUUGACAUUGGUGAAUUGUCGUUUUCAACAUUGGUAUGUGCUAUACAGAACAUGCUGUGGGGUGAAGCGCUUGAAUUAAAAGAGAAAGGGACCACUAAUCUUAGGGCUGGGCUAAAAUUUAAGCUGGCAGAACUCAUGGUGCUUGCGGGAACACCGAAUAUUUCGGAUGUCUUUCCAAUGCUUUCAUGGCUUGACAUACAAGGUAUAGAGAGGAGAGCAAAGAAGAUUUCACUCUGGCUUGAUAAUGUUAUAAAUUCUACUGUUGAACAGCAUAGAAACAAGGAGUUAACUGUUGAAGGUGAAGAAAGAGCGGGGAAAAAUUUUGAAGGAUCAAGGAACAAGAACUUCUUGCAGUUACUAUUGGAGCUUCAAGAAAAUGAUGACAGUGCUUCCUCAAUUAGCAUGAACCAAUUCAAGGCCGUACUCGCGGUAUGUUAAGCAACUAGCCACGAACAGUUAUACAAGCACAAUUGUAUAUUUGCAUGAGUGAUAUUUUCAACCUUUUUUUUUAAUUAGAAUUUUAUUGUCACCUUUUGGACAGGAUAUAAUUACGGCUGGAACCGACACCACAACUACGAUGGUGGAAUGGACAAUGGCAGAGUUGAUGCAGCAUCCACAAGUAAUGAAGAAAGUUCAGGAAGAAUUAGCUCAAGUUGUGGGCAUGGACAGUUGUGUUGAAGAAUUUCACCUGUCUAGAUUAAUGUAUUUAGAUGCUGUGGUGAAGGAAACAUUUCGUCUGCAUCCUGCAGUGCCUUUAUUACUACCACGUAGGGCAAGCGAGAGUGGCAACAUUGGUGGCUAUACCAUUCCCAAAGAUACAACUCUUAUGUUGAAUGUUUGGGCUAUCCACAGGGACCCUCACCUUUGGGAUAAUCCCUUAGAAUUUCGACCCGAGAGGUUUCUGAAUGUUGGUAUCGAGAGUAAGUUCGAUUACUCAGGUAACAAUUUUCAGUACUUGCCAUUUGGUUCUGGUAGAAGGAUGUGUGCUGGGAUUCCUCUAGCUGAGAGGAUGCUGAUGUUUGUUUUGGCUUCGUUAUUGCACUCAUUCGAGUGGGAAUUGCCAACUGGCACAAAGCUAAACUUAUCAGAAAAAUUUGGGAUUGUCAUUAAGAAAAAAGAGCCUUUGGUUGCUAUUCCAACACCAAGACUAUCCAAUUCAGAGCUCUACCAUUAAGACCAAAUGGUUGUGAUGAUUUUGUUAAUUUCCGAAGAUUUGUAUGUUAUUUCAAGUUCAAUCGUAGUAAAAUAUUUCAAAUAAGAGUCCUCCGUUGCUUUUUUUUUUUUUUUUCAACGGCAUAAUCUGUGGUCAUGCUUGUAUUUGGAGCCACUUUAGAAAAAUUAUGUUUGAAUUACAAUUUAUAAAUAUUACAUUUUAAAAUAUUAUGAGGCUAAAUUUAUACACGUUCAAUAACCCGCUUCAUAUAUAUUUAACACAAUUUAUAUCAUACAUUGUACACCCAUUUAUCAUAAAUUACACUAUUUUGUAUCUCUAAAUAAUAUUACGUAUUGAUAUUAUAAAAUAUAUAUGGAAAAGAGAACAAAGAAGAUUUCUUAUGGUUUGAAAAUAUUAUGAAUUCUGCUGUUGAACAGUAUGGAAACAAGGUCUCUGUUGUUAAAGGUGAAGAAGCAACAGGGAACAAUAUUGAAGGAAGAAAUUUCACAUGUUUAGUUGCUGAAUUUGCCGCUGUAUUCUAUCGGUAGUAAAAAAAUUAGAGUUUUUAUUUUUCUCUAUUAAUGUUAAGUCAAUUUUCUAUAACAAAUUCGGUUGAGUUUAAUUGUGUUACAAUAUAAAUUGAAUGAUAAUAGAAUUUUCAACGAAUAUUUCAAUAUUUCUAUCUCGAUUGUUGAAGUGCCAUUUAUUUGUUAUGCGAUCGAUUUUAAAAUUUAUAAAAAUUAUUUGUUACUAAAUUGCAUCAUAUGCUAAAAUCACCUGAAACCUAAUUCCAUAACUAACCCUUUAUUUUUAGUUCUCAAGAAAUCUUGUAAGAACAAAAUUCUUUUAUAACAAAACUUUUACAACACAUUAAUUUGUAACUCAUUCCUGUGCGAGAAUCACUCUCAAAUUCCUUCAAUUGCUGUUGAACAAUCAUCUGCUUAUCAAAAUUCAAGCAUAAUCUUUUCUUUUUUUUAAUUUCUUCAUCAUUCUUUUGAAAAAAAAAAAUCAGGAUAUGCUGUUAAAAUUUUGAAAUAAAUUAUCUCAAAAUAAUUACUAACCAGAAAAAACAAAGGGGUUUAACUAGGUUAUGCAUACCUUUGAAAAUUAUAUGUUGAUCGAUAAGAAUGAUGAUCACGAUUGAGGAGUUUAAUUAAAAUAUAUAAGAUUUUAAAAUUAAUCAGGGUUAAAUUGUGAAUUUUAGAAAGAGAGGUUUUGUGAGAAUGCUGAAAGGGUGUUAAUAGUUCCACUCUUUUUAAAAGCAACCAUAGUCAUCAUUUUUCCCGAUUUCUUCUUCCCAUCUCCAUCUUAUUUAGAAAUUUCCCAGAGCCUUUGUUUCCCACCUUUCAUUGUUCUUCUUUCUAAUUUAAUACUAUAGGAUUACAAAAAUAAUUACUCACAUUUUAUCAAACACCUCCAUUCUACCAAGGCCUUGUUUUAGUAGUAGGCUUUUAUUAUCUCAAUAAAAUUGAAAAAACAAAUCUCAAUAAUAUUGGAAAAAAAAAACCUACCCAUAUUUGUAACUUUAAUUUAUUAUUCUCCAUAGACCUACUUUUUAGCUUUGAAUUUUGUUGGAGCCAUAUAUAAACAGAAUAUGUUGAAUCAGCACCAAAAAAAAAAAAAAAAAACUAAUUAUAUAAUUUCUGUUCCCAAGGACAUGACUGAUUGAUUUUCAAGAAGUUUUGUUUGGCUGGCUACUUAGGUUUAAAUCUUGGUGGAGAUUAGGGGUUAAGAAAUAAAUUUGGACUUUGCACACCCCUUUAACUUUUAAAAAGAAAUGAAAAAAACUAAUUAAUUAAUCUUUAUUUUAUUUAUUAAAUAUCAUAAUCCUAUGCGUAUUUUAUUUGUUAUCUUUCUAUUUAAAAGACAGGAGGGCAGAUAAAACUGAAAUAAAUUUUUAGCCCUAUCUCCAUCUUUCAAGUUCCAUAGUUAGGUGACCAGGUAAAGAAAAUUAAUUGAAAGCUACUCCAUCAAAUUAAAAAAUUUUAUUUAUUUAAUUUGUGGAGAUGUAGAAAAUCAAACCCCAUGCCUUUUCGCGUGGAAAAGUGUCAACCUGGUCUAGCUAUGUUGCAAAAGUGAACAUAUUUUAAUACAUGACUAUCAUCCUUUAUCCUAAAUACUACUAUAACUAAUAACAUACAAUUGAAAUAAUUAAUGUUAACACUUGGCUAUAAAUAAAGGUUUUGUGCUUGAAUCUUCACGCAUGACCUUCAUUCCUUUAUUUACUUUGCUAACACAGAUUUUGAGGCAUUAAAACUAAAUAAUAAUUGACUUUGUGGGCCGAGGAUGCCAGCAACAAGGAGACCACAAUUAUCACUUGUUAAGUUACUCUAAUUGCCGUUGUCUUAUAUUCAUAGAAUAUUAGUAAUAAGAUUAUUGUAGAAUUUUUUUAUAUUAAAAUUAAGUCAAUUUGUUAUAACAAAUUUAGUUGAGUUUAAUCGUGUUACCACAUAAAUUGAAUAAUAAUAAAAUUCUCGACAAAUAUUUCAAUAUUUUUAUCCCAAGCGUUGGAGUGGCAUUUAUUUGUUAUACGAUCAAUUUUAGAAUUUAUAAAAUUAUUCGUUACUGAAUUGCACCAUAUGCUGCAUGACCUGAAACUUAAUAAACGGAACGUAGCGUUGGCACCGUUACUCAACAUACUGUUACGACUUUGUGACAUUAGAAUUAAAAUCUUUUGCACAUUUAAUUUGUUUACUUCCAAAUUAAUAUUUAACAAAAUAUUUUUUCACAUUAUCAAUGGACAAAACUCCAACGAAAAUAACUACACAAGAAAAAUGUAUGCUAGUAUUGUGUGCCAUAUCAUCUGUAAUUUUGUCAGGAUCGAUCAUUCUAAUUUUUAAGCAGAACUUUUUAUCAAUGGACAAACACCUCACACAGCUUGUCAGAGGCAUUAUUAUGAUGGAAAACUGUAAUGGUAUAUCUUGAAUUAUUGGUAGAAUAGUUCUUUGGAGCAAUAAAAACAGAUAAGACAGAUGAGAAAAUUGUCAAUACCCCACCGCAAAAGCAAAAGAAAAAAAGGAAAGGAGACAAAAGAGGAAGAAGAAAAAGAAAAAAGAACGAAGAAAAAAAUGGUGCCGCGCGGUAUAGGCAAGAAGAAAAAAUAAUAAUAAAAUAAUAAAAUAAUAGUGCACAACAGUCAUUUGAUUGCUAUAAAUAAAGGGGCAUUUCCCUCAUUUUAUUCAUCGAAUUCUUCAGUUCCUAAGCGAUUUAAGAGUCUAGUGAUUUGAGAGUUUGGGUAUAGUAUAGUUUUGAGUAGUGAGUUAAAAUAUUACAAUACUUAUAACUUAUUUUUACUAAUAAAAUAUUUUUCUUCUAUCUUCACCCGUGGACGUAGGGUCAAAGCCGAAUCACAUAAUUUUUAGUAUCCCUAUGUGAUUAUGUAUCUCAUUAUUUUUCAAUUUUACUUUAGUUACGUGUCUGCUACAUCCUUCAAUUUACUAACAAAAAUGGCCAAAAUUAUAUAAGUGACCCAAAUUUUUUUGCUAUUUCCAAGAAAUCUCCAAUCUGAAUGGGCCAGACCAGAGGGAGGCAAGUUAGAAAUACGUUUCCUUCAUAGACAAUAACAGCGAUGAGUCGAUGACAUCGAGCCACGUCGGUAUCAAUAUUGAAUUAAAGGUGCAAUUAUUCAGCCAAUGAGCCUUACACAUCAAGAUAAAAGUCAAGAAAAUGAAUAUUUAUCCUAAUUAAAACACUUUCUGGCUGCAUUUAGUUGUUUCCAUUUGAAGUUAAAAGCAACGUUUCUUUCGUUUUGUGGGCAACUCGACUCAGUUAGCUGGCUUCUAGUGCUAGUAAGUGAAAAUAGAAGGCUAAUGAUUUAUUUGUUAUCUUUUGAUAAAAUUAUUAAAGAUAUAAUAGAUUUUUCAUGAUACAAAUAAAAAAUCACAUCAACAUAGCUUCCAAAGUACAACAGCUAAUGUUUACCAAACACUUUGUUGUAGCUUUUAAGCUACAGCUGCCCAACUUUAAUUUCAAAUGCACCCUUAAUAGGUUGAUUGAAUUUGUGGGAUAUAGAUUCCACAUAUCGUAUGACCUAGUAACUAUACAAGUGGUUCGUGAUCAAGACACAACAUUUGCUUCCGGCCCGGUGACCCAGCAAUCGCUGCAUUGGUCGCCACCUAUGGUGCCAACGAUAUUGCAUGGUCCAAUUGUGGCCUUGAAUGGAAAAAGUUGAGCAAAUUAUUUGUGGACACGAUGAUAAGUAACGCAAGCCUUGAUGCUAGUUAUGGUCCAAGAAAACAAGAGAUAUGCAUAACAACAAAAAGGAAAAAAAAAAAAAAAAAAAAAAAGGCAUUUGCAAGCCCAUUGAUAUUGGUGAAUUGUCGAUUUCAACUUUGGCAUGUGUAAUCCAGAGCCUGCGCGCUGUGGUGUGGCGCUGGCACGCUUGCAUUGACGAGGGGACAAGUCUUGGGGCUGAGCUAACAUUUAAGCUCGCAGAACUCAUGGUGCUAAUGGGAACACCAAAUAUUUUUUGACAUAUUUUGGUGCUUUCAUGGUUUAAUUCAAGGUAUAGAAAGGAGUGUUGAGAAUGUCAAAUAAAACGGUAUUGAAUGGAAGUUGUUAAAGACACGAUCCGCACCGAACGACAACAGCACGGUUGCUAAAAAUCCUUCCGUAAUAGGCAUAUCUAAUUUUUGAAAAAGUGUAACCUCUACAUUUAUAAAUAUACUCAAUGUAUAAUGUUUUACUUAAGAAAUGAAAAACUUGUUUGUUCAAGGAGAAUAAAGAAAAAUUUUCUAUGAUUUUUCUAUGGUUUGAACAAAGAAGGUUUUAACGAGUAUUAUAGACCUCGAUUGAAUGUUCGAAUGUAUAAUAAAAGAGAAACUGUCACAUAAAUGACAAAGAUACUUGAAAAAAAAAAAAAAGGGCAGCAAUAGAGAAUUAGAUCCGACUGUACAAAUAACUAGUUAAUUCAUCGAUACAUCAUUUUCUUGCUAGAAAAUGACAAUUAUGACAGCAAGCCACGAUAGUGUCAAUAUUGAAAUUGAUUUGCAAUUAUUCAGCCUAUGAGCCUUACACGUCAAGAUAAAAGUCAAGAAAAUGAAAGUUAAUAUCAAUUAAAACACUUCCAUUUCUAUGUGAAGUUAAAAAACAACGUUUCUUUUGUUUUGUGGGGGAUUCAACUGAGCACGCGCCACUAGCUAGCUGGCUUCUAGUUCUAGCAUAUGAAAACAGAAUUCUAAAGAUUUCACUUUCACCUUUUUUCUUUUUUUGGGGUUUUGAAUCAAAGUCAAGGUCGCACUGAAUAAUAUGUAAAAUUUGAAAAAGAAGAAUUAAUAGAGAACAAAGUUUUGUUUUAAAUUCACAUGGUGUGCAUACAAUUCAACAAACACUUCCUAUAAUAAAUCUGGAGUUGUAUCCCACGUUGAACAAUAAAGGAAAGUCACCUAAAUAUACAUGUAGGAUAAGUUACUUUAUUUAGUAAGUUUGUAUUUUCUUCUUUCUUCUAGUUUACAUAUAAAUUUGAUUAGAUAACUUAACACAUAUUUUAAUACUUGAUCAGAAGCCCGACGUACAGGUGGAUCUAGAAACUUGAUUUCUAAGAGUAAUACUAUAAUAAAAAAAUAAUGAUUCAUAGAACCAAUAUCAAAAUUUGUUUACAAGAUUGCCCCCACUCAAAGGUAAUUUUCAUAGAAAUUAAUAGGAAAUUUAAUUGUUAGUGGGGUCAAAUUGCCCCCACACUCUGAAUGUAGAUCCACGCCCGACCCUGAGUCAAGUAUAUUUUGCCACAUAUACUCUGAAUGUCGGCAGGAAAAAUCUUCCACUUUAGUUAAAAAUUUUCACUUAAAAAAUAUUUAUGUUAAUAAAGUUCGUAAAGGAAAUGAGUUUAAUUAAUGAAUAUUAUAGGAGAAAUUAAAGGAAAUGAGUUUAAUUAAAGAAUAUUAUAGGAGAAAUUCUAUUGUUCGGCUUUUAAUAAAUUAAUUAAUAGGUUUAAAAGAUUAAUAUACAUCAAAAUAUUAUUAGUUGGUGGGGGUUCCACAUCGGACUAAUACGUGUCACCUUACUUGUGAGAUUAAGACAAUCGACUUAGACUAUUUAAAUAUGUUUGAAGCUUAGAUGGCACCGCUUCAAUUUGCAUUACUGAAUGUCAUUCUUUAUCCUAAUUACUACCGUAAUUGAUAACAUGCAAUUGAAGUAACUAAUAUUAGCACUUGGCUAUAAAUGAACUAAAGGCCGUGCAAUUGAAUCUUUACUUGAUCACUUCACUCCUUUAUUUUGCUAACACAGAUUUUGAGAUAUUAAAACGAAAUAAUAAUUGAAUCUGGCUUUGUGGGUCGAUGAUGCUAGCAAAAACGAGACCACAAUUAUCACUUGUUUAUUUGCUGUAUUUGACGUUGUUUCAUAUUGGUAGUAAUAGGGUCAGUUUUUAAUCUUUUUAUAUUAAAGUUAAGUCAAUUUGUUAUCAAAAAAAAAAAUUGGUUGAGUUUAAUUAUAUUGCUAUGUACAUUAAAUAAUUAUAAUAUUCUUGAGGGAAAAAGACACCUAGAACCUCAAGGUUUGGGGAAAUGGUCACAAAGACUCCUAAGUUUUAAAAAAGGAACACUAAGAUCUUUUUUUACCCAUAAUACCCUUUGACUAGAGUAAUUAAAAAAUUGACUUUAAAGGUUUUUAAAUAAUUCUAAUUUAAUAUAAAUCAUAUAAUCUAUCUAGUAAACUAAUAAUAUUAAAUUAUUUUUUAUAUUUAAAAUAAUGUUAAAUUUUAAAUUAUUAUAUUUAUAAAAUUAUAAAGAUUUUAAAUAAAUAUUUGGAUUGAAUAUAUUUUACAAUUAAAAGUCUUCCUAUUAAUAAUAUUAAAAUUUAAUUUUACAAAAUAUAUAUUCAAAAUAUUUUUAAUUUUAAUUUAUUUAUUUUAAUAUUAUGUUUCUACCUAUUAUUAAAAAUUACUUUAAUAUAAUAAAAUAGGUCUAAUAGAUUGAAAAAUAUGAAAAUAUUUUUAAAAUUUUAAAUUAUUUUGAAAUGUAUAUAUUAUUACAUUUAUUUCAAUGUCAUAUUUUCAUUUAUUAUAAAAUUUUGGGGUUAUUUUUUUGGGAAUUUAUAGAGUCAAAGAGCAUUAUAAUUUAAUCCAUGCACAAUAUCUAUAAUUAUAUCGGUUGUCGGCUGAUUUCGUGGAGGGGGCGGCAGUUCAAAAUUUUUACGUGCAUGUUGGAUGGACGUCUCUAUUAAAGGAGAGCCACCACUUGCAUGGUAAUUUUUUUAAAUAAAUAUAUACAUUUCAAAACAUUAUUUUCUUGUUGUAUAGUUAACAUGUCACCUUAGAUGUAUUUUAGAGCUUCUCCUAUUAAAGAUAAUCUCAUGCAGUGUUACAGAGUAUGGUAAUAUGGUAUAGAUGAGAGCAUCUGAUUAAAUGAAGCAGCUGGUAAUGCUUACGUGUGUGAGUUAGUUAUCCAGCUCAGCAGCAAAGCAAACGAAAUGAAUUGCAUGCAUAUUAGAUCCAACAAACUGGUAAACUCUAGAUUCUUCUUUCAUUUAGUAUAAAUACCAAGUUGUUAUCAUUUGCUAAAUAUAUAAUAAGAUGAUCAUUUUCAGAUCUUUCCUUUAUAAUUUUCUAUAACUUUCUCGUUAGUUUCUCUUGAACCAAACACUUUGUACGAACUCUUUCGUGCAGUGAUACUUCUCGUGAUCUAAUCAUUAGUAGAAUCUAUAAUUUCGCUACUGUAAUAAAAUCUGUCACUACCCUAUAUGAAUGUAGAUAUUUGACGCGAUUUGUAAUUGCUUCCGACAGGAAAACAGCAAUAGUUUUAUUGAAAUUUGUGGUAUAGAUUCCACGAAUCUUAUGACAGAAUACUGACCACUCCAACCCUAUCCGCAUUUACACGAUUAAUACACAAGCUUAGAUGUGACAAUGCAUUUGUCACUCAUUCAAAUUCAUCCUGAAACACUAUACACUAAAUAAUCGAAUAUGGCUUCGUGGGUCGAUGAUGCUAGCAGCAACGAGACUGCAAUUAUCACUUGUUUUGUUGCUGUACUUGUCGUGGUCUAUUUCGCAUGGAAUGUAAACAAAUCAAGUAAAGCAAAUGCUAAAUUGCCACCAGGACCUCGGGGCUUGCCAGUAGUCCGAUACCUCCCAUUUCUUGGAACUACUGACUUACACAAGACAUUCACGGAGUUAUCUGGAGUUUAUGGUCCGAUCUUCAAGAUUUGGCUUGGGAAUAAAUUGUGUGUAGUGGUGACCUCGCCUACCCUAGUUAAACAAGUGGUCCGUGAUCAAGAUAUAACAUUCUCAAACCGCGACCCACCGAUCGCUGGAACUGUGACCACCUACGGUGGCAAUGAUAUUGCACUUUCCAAUUACGGUCCCGAAUGGAAAAAGUUGCGAAAAUUAUUUGUGAGCAAGAUGAUGAGUAAUGAGACCCUUGAUGCUUGUUAUGCUCUAAGAAAACAAGAGGUUAAAAAUACUAUCAGGGAUUUGUAUAACAACAAUAAGGAUAAUAUUGGCAAUGGCAAUGGCAAGCCCAUUGACGUUGGUGAAUUGUCGAUUUCAACUUUGGUACGUGUUAUGCAGAACAUGCUGUGGGGUCAAGCAUUGGAAACAAGAGAGAAAGAGAUUACUAAUCUCGGGGCUAAUCUUGCAGAACUCAUGGUGCUACUGGGAACACCAAAUAUUUCGGAUAUUUUUCCAGUGCUUUCAUGGCUUGACAUGCAAGGUAUAGAGAGAAGAGCUAAGAAGAUUUCUCUAUGGUUUGAAAAUAUUAUCAAUUCUGGUGUUGAACAGUAUAGAAACAAGUUCUCUGUUGUUAAAGGUGAAGAAGCUGCAGCACGAAAAAAUAUUGAACGAUCAAGAAAUAAGGACUUCUUGCAGUUGCUGUUGGAGCUUCAGGAAAAUGAAGAUAGUGCUUCAUCUAUUAGCAUGAACCAACUAAAGGCCGUGCUCGUGGUAUGUUAAGCAACUAGACACAAAAAGUUGUAAAAGCACAGCGAUAUAUUUGCGCGAGGCCCCGAGUGAUGUUUUGCCUCGAGAACUCUCAAUUUUAUCUUACGGUAAAAAAUGUUUUUCAACUUUUUUUUUUAAUUAGAAUUUUAUUGCAAUUUAUUUAACAGGACAUAAUUGUGGCCGGAACCGACACCACAACUACGAUGGUGGAAUGGACAAUGGCAGAGUUGAUGCAACAUCCACAAGUAAUGAAGAAAGUUCAAGAAGAAUUCGCUCAAGCUGUGGGCAUGGACAGUUGUGUUGAAGAAUAUCACUUGCCUAAAUUAAAGUAUUUAGAUGCUGUGGUGAAAGAAACAUUUCGUUUGCAUCCUGCGUUGCCCUUAUUGGUACCUCGCACGGCAAGCAAGAAUAGCAACAUUGGUGGCUAUACCAUUCCCAACGACACUAAUCUUAUGUUGAAUGUUUGGGCUAUCCACAGGGACCCUCAACUUUGGGAUAAUCCCUUAGAAUUUCGACCUGAGAGGUUCUUGAAUGAUGGUAUCAUAAGCAAUUUCAAUUACUCGGGUAACAAUUUUCAGUACUUGCCAUUUGGUUCUGGUAGAAGGAUGUGCGCUGGGAUUGCUCUAGCUGAGAGGAUGUUGAUGCUUGUUCUGGCUUCGUUGUUGCACUUGUUUGAGUGGAAAUUGCCCUCGGGCACAAAGCUAGACUUAUCUGAAAAGUAUGGGAUUGUCAUGCGGAAAAAAGAGCCUCUAAUUGCUAUUCCAACACCAAGGCUACCAAAUUCAGAUCUCUACCAGUAAGAUCAAAAUGGUUUUGAUAAUAUUAUUUCCCAUUGUAUUGGAUUUGAAGUUCAAUCAUAAUAAAAUAUUUUAAUAAAAUGUCCUCGGUUGCUAAUUUUUCAAUAGUAUAAUCUGCACCUGUCUUUUAUAGCAAUUUGGUCUAAUUUAUUUUUGAAUUAAAAUCCAUAAAUAUUUAUAUUUUUUUAAUUAUAUUAGGAAUUAUGUGGGGUGUAUGGUCUGAUCUUCGAGCUAUGCCUUGAAAACAAAUUAUGCAUAGUCGUGCACACGCUUUCCCUAAUUAAGUUUGUGGUUCGUGCUCAAGGCACAGCAUUCACCCCCCGCGACCCAACAAUCGCUACAUUGUUCCCCACCUAAAGUGCCAACAUAUUGCAUAAGUAACGCAAAAUAUGGUCCCCAAUGGAAAACGUUGCGCAAAUUAUUUCUGGGCAAGAUGAUAAGUAACGCAAGCCUUGAUGCUUGUUAUGGUCUAAGAAAACAAGAGGUUAAAAAUACUAUCAGAGACAUAUAUAAAACAACAACAGAAAAAAUUGGCAUUAUCAUCGAUAAUGGUGAGUUGUGGAUUUCAACUUUGGUAUGUUUAAUUCAGAACCCGCAGUGGGGUGGCGCUAGCACGCCUGCGUUAGGAGACGAGGGGACCAAUCUUGGGGCCGAGCUAAAAUAUAGGCUUGUAGAGCUCAUGCUGCUAAUGGUAAUGGGAACACCUACUAUUUCGGAUACUUUUCCGAUGCUGGUUUAAUUCAUGGUUUAGAAAGGAGAACAAAGAAGAUUUUUCGAUGCUUUGAAAAUAUUAUAAUUUUUAUAAAAUCUCUUAUUGAUAACUAAACAACUAAAAUUUCUGUAAAGUUUUUGUGGACUUUUGAUCUCCUAUGGUGCCAAUAUUUUCGACUAAUUUUUUCCUUCAAUUAAUGAUGUUGGUUGAGAAAGACUAUUUUUCUUGCAAUAAUAUAGUAUUCGUGGUCCUAUUAGGGUUCCGAAUGGAGAAAGUUGCACUAAGUUUUUUGAGUACCAAAUGAUGAGUAAUGUACGUAAGCCUUGAUGGUAGUUAUGGUCUAAGAAAACAAGAGGUUAAAAAUACUAUCUGGGAUUUGUACAACAAUAACAAAAUUGGCAAGCCCAUUGACAUUGGUGAAUUGUCAGUUUCAACCUUGGUAAGUGUUUUCAGAACAUGCUGUGGGGUGAAGCGCUUGGAAUAAGAAAGAAACGGAUGACGAAUAUUGGGGCUGAGCUUAGAUUUAAACUUGCAGAACUCAUGGUGCUGUCAGGAACACCGAAUAUUUCGGAUAUCUUUCCAGUGCUUUCAUGGUUUGAUAUACAAGGUUUUGAGAGAAUAGCAAAGAAGAUUUCUCUAUGGUUUUAAAAUAUUAUCAAUUCUACUGUUGAACGCUAUAGAAACAAGGUCUCAGUUGUUAAAAGUGAAGAAGAAGACGCAGCAGCAGCAGCAGCAGGGAACAACAUUGAAGGAAGGAAUAAGGACCUGGUGCAGUUACUCUUGGAGCUUCAAGGUAAAGAAGAAAAUGCUUCAUCAAUUAACAUGACGCAAUUUAAGAGCUUGCUCGUGGUAUGUUUGCGCAACUAGCCACAGACAGUUACAGAAACUGAGUUUGGCAGAUUACGACCGUUUCUGGUGAUUAUAUAACUAUUUGUGGCUGUUUUUUGUUUUUUUUUUCUUUUAAUUGGAAUUUUAUUGUAAAUUUCUUAACAGGAUAUAAUUUAGGGUGGAACCAACACCACAACUAUAAUGGUGGAAUGGACAAUGGCAUAAUUGAUACAGCAUCCACAAGUAAUGGAGAAUGUAAAGGUAGAACUAAGUCGGGCCGUGGCCAUUGACAGCCAUGUUGAAGAAUUUCACCUACCUAAGUUAAAAUAUUUAGAUGUUGUGGUGAAAGAAACAUUCCGCACGAUAAUAUAAUAUAUGAAUCAUAUAUCCUCUAUUGGUUUUUUGCUCCUUUUUUUUUCAAUAGCUUAAUCUAUCAUUAAAAUCUUCUGAAAUUCUAAAUUAAUAUACAUUCAACCUAGAGUUCAACCCAAAGUUUUAUUGAGCAUUAAAAAAAAAAAUUCUACGACUAAAAAUUUUACAGAGUAUAAAUUAAAAAUUAUGCGCCUACUAACAGACAAAAAACAAUUGAUACACAUUCACCAAUCAAAGGCAAACAAGAGAUUAUUAACAAUAACUUAAUAAUAAAAUUAUAAGGAAUCAAAUAGAAAUGGUACCUAGAAACACAUCACGCCAUUUAAUCAAUCACUUACCCAUAAAAUCCAAACUUAUAAACUAUUAAGGGGGGGAAAUGGAUACCUUUGGGUUUCAUUAAAUCAAAAUUACAACACCAUUAAAUACUCAAAAAUGAAAAAAAAAAAAUCAUACCCAAUAAAAGAGAAAAAAAUAACCCACAAAAAAAAUCAUCAAGAAAAUAAAUUUGAGACUAAGAGAAGAUAUUAAUUAACGCCUGGGUUGCAUUGGAACCACGGCUUUGGCUUCCAUUUUUCAAUUCUUGGUCACAAGUGAUUUCUUGUUUGUUUGCAAUGAUGACGGUUGAUUAAUGAAGCUCUAUUAACAAUGAAUGAAUCAAAAAACUUGAGCCUUGAAAAGACUAACGGUCAUAUUUUUCAACUCCGAAUUAGUGGCGUUUGAUGAGUCCUUGCCAAAACAAUCACUCGGCAGAUAACGAUCAUUUUUCAACCAGCAAAACUCAUUCAUUGUUUUUCACCUUAGUGAAGAUUUAAAAAUUGUUUCAAAAUAGGAUUCUUAAAAAAAUAAUAAUAAAAUGAUAUUUAACUUAAUUCUAACUUAGGAAAACAAAAUAUCUACACUCCCAAAGUUUGGAGAAAUGGUCAUUAAUAUCCCCAACUUUCCAAAAAGAGACACCAAGAACCCUUUUAACCAUAAUACUAUUUACUUCUAUUAUCCCAAAAAACAAUUGACUCUAAUAUUUUAUAAUAAAUAAAAAUAUAACAUUAAAAUAAAUGUAAUAGUAUAUACAUUUUAAAAUAGUUUCAAUAUUUAAAAAGCAUUUUAAUAUUUUUAAAUUCUAUUUUAUAUAUAUUGAUUAUUUUAAAGUAAAUUUUAUAAUAAAUAGAAUCAUAAUAUUAAAAUAAAUGCAUUAAAAUUUAAAUUAUUUUGAAUAUUAUGUAAAAUAAUAAUUUUAACAUUAUUAGUAUAUGAGAAUUUUUUUAAUUGUAGAAUGCAUUUAAUGCAAAUAUUUAUUUAAAAUCUCUACAAUAAAUAAAAAUAUACUAUUAAAACAAAACUCUACAAUACAUACAUACAUACAUAUACAUUGGCCUGGUAUUUUUAUUUUUCAUUUUUAAACUUAUUAAAUCCUCUAACUAUCAUUUGAUUUUUUUUUUUUUUCAAUGAUCAAGAGGUCAUUGCCGGAUAAAUGAUUAAAAUCAACUAGUUCUACAAGAAUAUCUCUUUUUAAAGGAAGAUGAUUCUCUCUCUCGAAAUUUUUUUAUCUCGUGCUACAAACUAAAAACUUAUGCCACUUCAUUAACCACAAAGAUCUUUGAGGAAAUGAUGCUUCCCUCCCCCCCCCCCCCCCCCCCCCUCCCACAAAAAAAAAAAAGAGUCCUUCCAUAUUGUGUGAAGGCUAAUAUAUCGAUGAAUCUAGAUUUCUUUAAAUUUUUUGUUUUACUCAAUUCGAGAUAAUAAUUCAAUCCAUGCAAAUAUCUAUCAUUGUAUGAGCUGACCAGUUAAUAGGUUGAUUGAAUAUAUGUGGUAAAGAUUCCACGUAUCUCAUGACAGAAUGCUGACCACUGGAACCCUAUCUACUUUUACGCGAUUAAUUCACGAGCUUAGGCACAACAAUUGCAAUACAAAUUAUCCCCUCAUCGUAUAUUUCGUUAAAAUUCAUUCUGAAGCAGUAAAACUAAACAAUCGAAUAUGGCUUUGCGGGUCGAUGAUGCCAGCAGCAAUGAGAGUGCAAUUAUCACUUGUUUAGUUUCUGUGCUUGCCGUGGCUUAUUUCGCAUGGAAUGUGAAAAAAUCAAGGAAAGCAAAUGCUAAACUGCCACCAGGAACUCGCGGCUUGCCUGUAGUCGGAUACCUCCCAUUUCUCGGGACUACUGACUUGCACAAGAAAUUCACGGAAUUUAUUUUACUAUUAUAUUUAUAUUCAAAAUAAUUUUAAUUAGCUUUUAAAAUGAAUGAUUUUAGGAAAUUAUAAAUAAAGGUAACUAAGAAUUCUCUUAAUGCAAUAUAUUAUUAAUUAGUUUAAAAAUACAAAUUUAUUAAUUAGAGAAAUUAUUAGUGAAUUUAAAUUAAUGAUCUUAAUGAUUUGUUUGUACGAUUGCCCCCAAUCAAAGGUAAUUUUCCUAAAAAUUAUUAGGAAAUUAGAGAAAUUUAAUUUUUUUUAGUGGGUUCAAUUGCCCACACACCCCGACUGAAGCAUUUUUUACAAUAUGUACUCCGUUUGUCGGCAGGAAAAUAAAGGUCUUGACACAUGAUCACUUCAUUCCUUUAUUUACUUUGCGAACGCAGAUUUUGAGGUAUUAAAACAAAUAAUAAUUGAAUAUGACUUUGUGGGUCGACGACGCCAGCAACGAGGAGACCGCCAAUUAUCACAUUUUAAGUUUGCUGUAAUUGCCAUUGUUUUAUAUUAGUAGAAUAUUAGUGAUAAGAUAAUUGUAGAGUUUUCAUUUUUUUAAUAUUAAAAUCAAGUCAAUUUAUUAUAAUAAAUUUAGUUGAAUUUAAUCGUAUUACCACAUAAAUUGAAUAAUAAUAGAAUUCUCCACAAAUAUUUCAAUAUUUUAAUCUCAAGCAUUGGAGUGGCAUUUAUUUGUUAUGCGGUCGAUUUUAGAAUUUUUAAAAUUAUUCGUUACUGAAUUGCACCAUAUGCUGCAUCACCUGGAACUUACUAAACGGAACGUAGCGUUGGCACCGUUACCAACAUUCACUGUUACGACUUUGUGACAUUAGAAUUAAAAUCUUUUCCACAUCUAAUUUGUUUACUUCCAAAUUAAUAUUUAACAAAAUAUUUUUUCACAUUAUCAAUGGACAAAACUCCAACGAAAAUAACUAUACAAGAAAAAUGUAUGCUAGAAUUGUAUGCCAUAUCAUCUGUAAUUUUGUCAGGAUCGAUCAUUCUAAUUUUGAAGCAGAACUUUUUAUCAAUGGACAAACACCUCACACAGCUUGUCAGAGGCAUUAUUAUGAUGUAAGAUUGUAAUGGUAUAUCUUGAAUUAUUGGUAGAAUAGUGAAUAACUAUUUGGAGCAAUAAAAACAAAUAAGACAGAUGAGAAAAUGGCUAAAAUUAUAUAAGUGACCCAAAUUGUUUUGCUAUUUCCAAGAAAUCCCCAAUCUGAAUGGACCAGCCAGAGGGAGGCAAGUUAGAAAUAUGUUUCCUUCAUAGACAAUAACAACGAUGAGUCGAUGACAUCAAGCCACGUCGGUAUCAAUAUUGAAAUAAAGGUGCAAUUAUUCAGCCAAUGAGCCUUACACAUCGAGAUAAAAGUCAAGAAAAUGAAAAUUUAUCCCAAUUAAAACACUUUCUGGCUGCAUUUAGCUGUUUCCAUUUGAAGUUAAAAACAACGUUUCUUUCGUUUUGUGGGCGACUCGACUGAGCUAGCUGGCUUCUAGUGCUGGUAAGUGAAAAUAGAAGGCUAAUGAUUUCACUUUCACAUUUUUCUUUUCCUUUUUUGGGAAUCAAAGUCAAGGUCAAGAAGAAUAAAUGGAGAAUUCGGAAAAAUGGGUGCAUAAUGUGAUCCAUUCAUGAAGAAGAGUACGUGAGCGUCGGGCAACAGUAUUUUUACCUAUUAAGCUCCAGUUUAAUUUUGUUGUAGGAAAACAAAAUUUUGUUUUCAAUUCACAUCGUGUGCAUCCAAUUCAACAAACACUUUGUAAUAAUUAAUGUUGAGUUGUAUCCUACGUUAAGGAGAGUUACUUAAAUUUAUAAAUAGGAUAAAUUACUCUAUUUAAUAAGUUAAUGUUUUCUUCUUUCUUCUAGAUUACAUAUAAAUUUAGUCAGAUAACCUAACACAUAUUUUAAUACUCGAUCAGAAGCCCUAAGCAGUGGUGGAUCCAAUAAAUUGAUUUAUAUGGUGUAAUAAUGUAAUAAAAAAAUGGUGAUUCAUAAAAUUGACCCAAUAUCAAAAUUUGUUUGCAAGAUUACUCCCCACUCAAAGGUAAUUUUCCUAAAAAUUAAUAGGAAAUUUAAUUGUCAUUGGGAUCAAAUUGCCCCCACACUCUUGAAUGUAGAUCCUCCCCUGGCCUUGAGUCAAGUAUUUUUUCCAAUAUAUACUCCGAAUGUCGGCAGGAACAACCUUCCACUUUAAUUUAAAAUUUUUACUUGAAAAAUUAAUUAAUGUUAAUAAAGUUCGUAAGAGAAAUGAGUUUAAUAAAAGAAAAUUAUAGGAGAAAUUCUAAUGUUUGUCUUUUAAUAAAUUAGUUUAUAAGUUUAAAAAGUUAACAUAUAUCAAAAUAUUAUUGAUUGGUGGUGGUUUCACGUCAGAUUAAGACGUGACACUUUACUUGUGAGACUGAGACAAUCAGCUUAGACUACUUCAAUAGGUUUGAAGCGUAGGCGGCACCCAUUCAAUUUGCACCAAUGUCUAUCAUUCUUUGUCCUAAUUACUACGAUAAUUAAUAACAUGCAAUUGAAAUUAUUAAUGUUAGUACUUGCCUAUAAAUAAAGGUAUUGUACUUGAAUCUUCAUAGAUGAUCACUUCAUUCCUUUAUUUACUUUGGUAACACAGAUUUUGAGAGACAUUAAAACUAAAGAAUAAUUGAAUAUGGCUUUGUGGGUUGAUGAUGCCAGCUCCAACGUGAGUGCAAUUAUCGCAUGUUUAAUUGCUCUAUUAGCCGUGGUCUAUUUCGUGUGGACAAGGAAAACAAAUGCUAAACUUCCACCAGGACCUCGCGGCUUGCCUGUAAUCGGAUACCUCCCUUUUCUCGGAACUACUGACUUGCACAAGACAUUCACGGAAUUAGCUGGUGUGUAUGGUCCAAUCUUCAAGCUCUGGCUUGGCAACAAAUUGUGUGUAGUGGUGAGCUCGCCUUCCCUAGUUAAACAAGUGGUUCGUGAUCAAGAUAUAACAUUCGCUAACCGCGACCCACCGAUCGCUGGACUCGUGGCCUCCUUUGGUGGCAAUGAUAUUUUAUUUUCCAAUUAUGGUCCUGAAUGGAGAAAGUUGCGCAAAUUAUUUGUGGGCAAGUUGAUGAGUAACGCAAGUCUUGACGCUUGUUAUGCUCUAAGAAAACAAGAGGUUAAAAAUAUAAUCAGGGAUUUGUAUAAUAACAACAAAACUGGCAAGCCCAUAGAUGUUGGUGAGUUGUCGAUCUCAACUUUUGUAUGUGUUAUACAGAACAUGCUAUGGGGUGAAGCUCUUGAAUUAAGAGAGAAAGGGAUCAGUAACCUUGGGGCUGAGCUAAAGUUUAAGCUAGCAGAACUCGUGGUGCUAAUGGGAACACCGAAUAUUUCGGAUAUCAUUCCGUGCUUUCAUGGCUUGAUAUACAAGGUAUAGAGAAGAGAACAAAGAAGAUUUCUCUAUGGUUUGCACAAGCACAGCUGUAUUAGUUAUGUGUUUUAACUUUAUUUUAAUUAGACUUUUAUUGUUAUCGUUUUAACAGGACAUAAUUUCUGGUGGAAACGACACAACAACUACAACGGUGGAAUGGACAAUGACAGAGUUGAUGCACAAUCCACGAGUAAUGAAGAAGGUUCAAGAGGAAUUAGCUCAAGUUGUGGCCAUGGACAGCUGUGUUGAAGAAUUUCACUUGCCCAAAUUAAAGUACUUAGAUGCUGUGGUGAAAGAAACAUUUCGGCUGCAUUCUGUGCCCUAUUUAGUACCACGUAGGGCAAGCCAAAGUAGCAGCAUUGGUGGCUAUACUGUUCCUAAAGAUACAACGAUUAUAUUGAAUGUUUGGGCAAUCCACAGAGAUCCUCAAAUUUGGGAUAACCCCUUAGAAUUUGGACCAGAGAAGUUUUUGAAUGAUGGUAUUGCGAGCAAAUUUGAUUACUCGGGUAACAAUUUUCAGUACUUGCCGUUUGGUUCUGGCAGAAGGAUGUGUGCAGGGAUUGCUCUGGCAGAGAGGAUGCUGAUGUUUGUUCUGGCUUCACUGCUGCACUCAUUUGAUUGGAAAUUACAGGCAGGCACAAAGCUAGACUUAUCUGAAAAGUUUGGGAUUUUGAUUAAGAAAAAGGAGCCUUAGGUUGCUAUUCCAACACCAAGACUACCCAAUUCAGAGCUCUACCAAUAAGACAAAUGGUUGUGAUGGUAUUGUAUCCCCACUGUAUUGGAAGAUUUGUAUGUUAUUUCAAGUUCAAUCAUAAUAAGCAUAUUAAUAAAUGUCUUCAGGUUGUUAUUUUUUCGCUGGCCCAAUCGAUCAUCAUACUCGUGUUUUCGAGCUAUUUAUUUAUUUUUGAAUUGCAAUCUGAAAUAUAUGUACUUUAAAUUUCUUACAAGAUUUUAAAUUUAUAUACAUCUACAACCCAAAAUCUCCCAAAAAAUCUAAAAUUCAAAAAUUUACAAAGCAUAGACCAAAAUUUUUAUACCAACUAAUUUUUUGAUCAAUUCUACACUUUCUAAAAGGAGAGACGUUUACUCCAAUAUUUGGACUACAAUUAUAUCUAAGCUUAGGUGCCAAAUAAUAAAUUUAUAAGUAAAUUGGAUUUUGAACAUGGAGAGAGUUCUAAAACAACUUGCUUAAAGCAAAUGAACUGUCCAAUUAAUUCAAUUUUUCAAAAACAAAUCUUUAAACAUUCAACGGACAUUUUCACAAGCUUCUGGAAGGCACAAUCUAAAACCCAACAAAGAAUUCAAAAAAUCUUUGAACUUCUCACAAGCUUCUUGGAGAGAUGCGACGGCGCUGCUUUGGUAACUCAGAAGGCUCAGAGAUCUUUGAGGAAAUCAUGGUUCGCUUUCUUUUUUAUCUUUCCUCCUAAUCCUUGCAAAUUGUGUGAAGGCCAAUAAAUCCAUGAAUCUAAAUCUCUGUAAAUUUCUUUUUUCCCAAAUUUAGAUAAUUAUUUACUCCAUGCACAAUAUAUAUCACUGUAUCAGCUGUUCUUUUUUUUUUUUUUUGGAUGGGGCGGCAGUUUAGAAGAGCUGGAGGGUGUUCUUGACAGAGCUCAAAUUUUUUGUGUGCUCGUUGGGUGGAUAUAUCAAUCAAAGAUAUCCCAUACAGUGACAUCUGUCGUGAUCAAAUUAUUAGUUGAUCAAUGAUUUCGACAUCUGUUUACUGUAAUAAAAUUUGUCACUAUACAUUGAUGAAAGUGUUUGAUGUGAUUUUCUAACUGCUACCGACGGGAAACAGUUAAUAGGUUGAUUGAAUUUGUGGGAUAUAGAUUCCACAUAUCGCAUGACAGGAUCCUGACCACUCGAAUCUUAUCUACAUUUACACGAUUAAUACACCAGCUUAGCUGUGACAGUGCCAUUACAAAUUAUCCUCUCAUCAUUUGUCUUGUUAAAAUUCAUUCUGAAACACUGAGACUAAAUAUACGAAAAUGGCUUUGUGGGUCGAUGAUGCGAGCCGGAAAGAGACUGUAAUUAUCACUUGUUUAGUUGCUGUACUCGCCGUGGUCUAUUUCGCAUGGAAUGUGAACAAAUCAAGUAAAGCAAAUGCUAAACUGCCGCCGGGACCUCGUGGUUUGCCUGUAGUCGGAUACCUCGCAUUUCUCGGAACUACUGACUUGCACAAGACAUUCACCGAUUUAUCUGGAGUCUAUGGUCCGAUCUUCAAGCUCUGCUUUGGAAACAAACUGUGUGUAGUGGUGAGCUCGCCUUCCCUAGUUAAACAAGUGGUCCAUGAUCAAGAUCUAACAUUCUCUAACCGCAGCCCAUCGAUCGCUGGACUUGUUACCACCUAUGGUGGCAAUGAUAUUGCACUUUCCAAUUAUGGUCCAGAAUGGAGAAAGUUGCGCAAAUUAUUUGUGAGCAAGUUGAUGAGUAACUCAAGCCUUGACGCUUGUUAUGCUCUAAGAAAACAAGAGGUUAAAAAUACUAUCAGGGAUUUGUAUAACAGCGACAGGGACAAUAUUGGCAAUGGCAGUGGCAAGCCCAUUGACAUUGGUGAAUUGUCGAAUUCAACUUUGGUAUGUGUUAUGAAGAACAUGCUGUGGGGUGAAGCGCUUGAAUUAAGAGAGAAAGGGAUUACUAAUCUUGGAGCUGAGCUAAAAUUUAAGUUUGCAGAAUUCAUGGUGCUACUUGGAACACCGAAUAUUUCGGAUAUCUUUCCAGUGCUUUCAUGGCUUGAUAUACAAGGUAUAGAAAGAAGAGCAAAGAAGAUUUCUCUCUGGCUUGAAGAUGUCAUAAAUUCUACUGUUGAACAGUAUAGAAACAAGGACUUUGUUAUUGAAGGUGAAGAAAGAGCAGGGAACAAUAUUGAAGGAUCAAGGAACAAGGACUUCUUGCAGUUAUUAUUGGAGCUUCAAGACAAUGAAGACAGUGCUAACUCAAUUAGCAUGAACCAAUUUAAGGCCUUGCUCGUGGUAUGAUAAACAACUAGCCACAAACAGUUAUACAAGCAAAGCUGUAUAUUUGCAUGAGUGAUGUUUUGCCUCCAGAAUUCUCAAUUUUUAUCUUAUACAAUGAAAUGUUUUUCAGUUCUUUUUUUUUAAUUGGAAUUUAAUUGUAAUCUUUUGAACAGGAUAUAAUUACGGGUGGAACCGACACCACAACUACGAUGGUGGAAUGGACUAUGGCAGAGUUGAUGCAGCAUCCACUAGUAACGAAAAAAGUUCAUGAAGAAUUAGCUCAAGUUGUGGGUAUGGACAGUUGUGUUGAAGAAUUUCACUUGCCUAAAUUAAAGUAUUUAGAUGCUGUGGUAAAAGAAACAUUUCGUCUGCAUCCUGCACAGCCGUUAUUAGUACCACAUAGGGCAAGCGAGAGUAGCAGCAUAGGUGGCUAUACCAUUCCCAAAGAUACAACUCUUAUGUUGAAUGUUUGGGCUAUCCACAGGGACCCUCGACUGUGGGAUAAUCCCUUAGAAUUUCGACCUGAGAGGUUCUUGAACGAUGGUAUUGCGAGCAAAUUUGAUUACUCGGGUAAAAAUUUUCAGUACUUGCCAUUUGGUUCUGGCAGAAG